rnacentral:lncRNA from 1 species
GGUGGUGGUGGUGCGACCAGUCGUGCUGCUGGGGGGGCGGCGGCGGCAUCACCGUGUACGGCACCCCGCUACCGUAACCAUGGUAGUACCCCCCGGUGGCGGCGGAGGCCUCGGGCGGCGGCAGCGGCGGCUGGAACUUGGGGAUGAUGUGCGGCUUCCGGUCGGGGUUCUUGGCGGCGAUCUCGCGCUCCGCGGGCGACCCGUGCAGCUCGCCGCUGUCCUUCUUGCGCGCGUACGACACGCUCACCUGCUGGUUCUCGAUGAACUGCUUGUCCAUGCUCUCGAUGGCCAGGUCCGACGCCUCGAAGCAGUCGUAGUGCACGAAGCCAUAGCCGGGCCGCGUCUGGUCGUCCGAGUGGACGACGCUCGAGUAGACGACGCGGCCGAAGCCGCUGAAGAUGGAUCCCAGGAGAUAGUUGUCCACGGUCCGGCUGAGGUUGCCCACGAAGAGAUUGGCGCCAACGUUCUCGUCCUUGUGCGAGGCCUUGCUCAUCCGGAUGCACCGCCCGUAGAGGCGGCAGUUGUUGAGGAUCUUGACGGCGUAGUCCACCGCCGUCUCGUUGGCCAGCUCCACGAAGCCGUAGCCCGAGUGCGCGGUGGUAAUCUUGUCGCGCGGGAUGUAGACGCUCUGGACGCGAGCCACCUGCGUGAAGAGCUCCCACAGGAUGUCCUCGGUUACCUGGGGAUCCAGGUUGCCCACGUACGCGGUCGCGUCCUGGUUGUGCUCCUUGGCGUGCUGGGACAGGAGAUUGGCGCCCGCGCCGGCCACGACCUUGGUCAUUCUCGCCCCUUCUUCCUACCCAAGAACCCUAAAAGUUGAGAUUUCCUAAUGCCCAAGAGCCCUAACUCUCCCCUGCCCAAGAACCCUAAAGUUGGGAAUUUCUAGGGUUCCUCUAUGUCCAGCUUUCAGGAGGAAGCCCGGAGCGCCAGGGCAUGAGAAUUUACUGCGCCUGCGCCUCCCCGCUCCUUGCUGGAUCCGCCGAUCCCUCCGCGCAGGUACAUUUGUUCUCGCCGCCGCUUGGAUUCUCCUCCUCCUCCUCCUUUUCCUCGCGGCGGCCAUGCAAGCCAUGCGGCCCUCGCUCCCGGCGCACCGGCGGAGCAAGGAGAGCCCGCUCAGCUCCGACGCCAUCUUCACGCAGAGCCACGCCGGCCUCUUCAACCUCUGCAUCGUCGUGCUGGUGGCGGUGAACAGCCGGCUCAUCAUCGAGAAUCUCAUGAAGUAUGGCCUCCUCAUCCAGGCCGAGGUCCUCUUCAGCUCCAAGUCGCUCAAGGACUGGCCGCUCCUCAUGUGUGGCCUCUCGCUGCUGAUCUUCCCCCUCGCCGCCUAUGUCAUCGAGAAGAUCAAGGCCCGCCGCCCCGCCACCGCCGUGGCGCCGCUCCACUUGAUCAACCUCGCCGCCGCGCUGCUCUACCCGAUCUACGUGAUCGAGAUGUUCCAGUCGGAUCUCCUCUCGGGGCUGGUUCUCAUGCUCAUCGCCGUCACCGGCUGGCUCAAGCUCGUCUCCUACGCGCACACCAACGCCGACAUCCGCGCGGUGAAGAAGGACGGUGGCAAGAUCGAGCUCCCCGCCGAGGCGCCGGCGAUCGACUACCCGGACAACAUCUCGCUCAAGAACAUCGCCUACUUCAUGGCAGCGCCGACGCUGUGCUACCAGCUGAGCUACCCGCGCUCGCCGCGGAUUAGAACCGGGUGGGUGCUCCGGCAGCUGGGCAAGUGGAUCGUCUUCAACGGAUUCAUGGGCUUCAUCAUCGGGCAGUACAUGAAUCCGAUCAUCCGGAACUCGACGCACCCGCUCAAGGGGAACUACCUCUACGCGAUCGAGCGCGUGCUCAAGCUGUCCAUCCCCACGCUCUACGUCUGGCUCGGCUUCUUCUACUGCUUCUUCCACCUGUGGCUCAACAUCGUGGCGGAGAUCCUGUGCUUCGGCGACCGCGAGUUCUACAAGGACUGGUGGAACGCCAAGUCGGUGGACGAGUACUGGCGGCUGUGGAACAUGCCCGUCCACCGCUGGCUCGUCCGCCACGUCUACUUCCCGUGCCUCCGGCUGGGCCUCCACAAGCAGUUCGCCAUUUUGGUGGUGUUCGUCAUCUCCGGGAUCUUUCACGAGAUUUGCAUCGCGGUGCCGUGCCACAUGCUGCGGGGCUGGGCGUUUCUGGGGAUCAUGUUCCAGGUGCCGCUGGUUCUGGUGACCAACGUCCUCCAGCGCAAGUUCCAGAGCUCCAUGGUCGGCAACAUGAUCUUCUGGUUCUUCUUUUGCAUCGUCGGGCAGCCGAUGUGCGUGCUGCUCUACUAUCACGACGUUGUCAACAGGCAGCAGCUCCAGCUAGCUGGGCGGUCCAAAUAAUCCUUGGUGAUAUGUCAUAGUUAUGUCAUAGCAAGGCCCCAUGGUAGCAGCGAAAUAAUGAUUAAUCUACCUAAGAUAUAUUCUUCCUGGAUCGACGCAAUCUUUUUUGUUGAUCUUUAGUCCGAGGCAGCCGUCCUGGAGAUGAUAAGACACCUGAGGGACACGUAAGGUUUGGUAGGACUAGUAACCUUUGGAAACAAAGUCCUAUGUCUCUCAUGUCACCACAGGACUGUCUGUCACCAUAGCGCAUAAGAAAGGUUUGGAAAAACAAACCACGAAUCGUCAAAGGAAGAGUGAUCACGCACGAAAGCAUUAUGAGUAGCGACCUGUCCAACCAUGGCUGGCUCUUUCGCUUUUGCGCAUUGGAACUUUAAGACCUCCGAGCCCACAAGUUUCAUUUUUAUGUGGCGGCACAGUUGCCCAUGUUUUUUUGGGGAUCCAACAGCGUAGCGUUUGUCCCAGCUCGAGGUGGUGCACGAGGACAGGGUGAACUCGCUUGUCAAGGAGCAUUAAUUCGUAGACGAGGAGCCUGUGAUCUCCGCCAAUGAGGUUCUCGGCCUUUCUCAAGUUCAAGUCGUGAGUAUCUUCGUUCUGUUUCUUCCAUUGUCAAAGCUCGCGCUCAUCAAGUGUUUCUUACAGUUGCCAAUAUGAAGGUUGAGAUCUUGCGUUGAGACACUAUAAAAAGUAUAAACUAUUAUGUAUUUAUGUACUGAUGUGUGUGUGCGCUUCUUAAUAAAAAAGAAUUUGAUGACAUUCAUGAUCUCGAACUCAAACUGGCUACAUAUAUACAUAUUAACCCCCAGGAGACGGCAUAAAAUUUAACAGUGACUUUGUCUAGAGAAACUCUUGGAUUUCCGAAAUGGUAAAAAGGCUGUGAACUUAAAGGAAAAUUCAACAUUUUCCAUUGUUUAUUUGCUUUGGAAACAACAAAGAAAGCUGCAAUGCAGCUGGAAGGAAAGAGUACUGGACUUAUAUAAACAAAGUUUAGCAGGAAGUCAGCAAGCAAACAACGCAAGCAUGGGUGAGGGAAACUUUGCAAGAGCAGUGCGUCAAAAGGUUUGUGGUGCCGGGGAGGCGAAUCAAGGCCCGGAGCUUGUCAGUGUUCCCAGGCCCGGAGCAGCCGAGCCCGGGAGUGUGGUGGUGCGCAUCAUUGCCAGGCCCAUCCAUCCCUUCGAUCGCAUCAUCAUCAAGCAGUCCUUCUCCAUUGGGAUCUUCGACAAGGGUGAGUUUGUUCCAGGGAGUGAAGGCUUUGGCAUAGUUGAAGAGGUUGGUUUCAUAGGGAAAAAGAAGAAGAAGAAAUUCUGAUCGUUUCCAAUCUCUUGAAGGUGGGAGAAGGCGUAAGGCGUGUGAAGAAAGGGGAUAGAGUGGUUCCUAUAUUUCUGUGGAACUAUUUCUCUGCCAAACAAGGCUCUUGGCAGGAUUUUGUCACUGUCUCGGAGAAAGACGUGAUUUUGAUGCCUCAUGACAUCUCCGACGAGGAUGCGGCACAGCUGAUUAUCAAUCCUUGGACGGGCUAUGGUCUUCUCAAGGAUAUCAAUGCUCCAAAAGGAAGCUACGUCCUCCAGAAUGGCGCUGGCUCGGUGCUUGGAAGGUAAAUCUUUAGUAGAGUCCCUACUCUCACAAACGAAACGAUCUUUCACGCACUAGGAUCAUUAUCAAGCUUGCAAAGCACUGGGGCAUCAAGACCAUCAACCUUGUGAGGCGUGACGAAAUCAAGGAAGAGCUCAAGAGCAUCGGUGCUGACGAAGUUCUCAACGUGACAAAAGAAGGUACAAUUUACCCACACCCGAUAAUUUCUAAGUUUGCGUGAUCUUCGUGGGGAAGAUGUUGCUGCUAAAGUGAAAGAACUUACAAAUGGAGCCGGAGUGGAGGGAGCGAUCGACAUGGUAUCGGGGUCGCAAACUAAGCUCGCUGCCGCUUGCGUGAAAUCCGGUGGGAAAGUCUUCACUAUCGGGAGCCUCGAAUCAUCGGACUCGGUGAUAUCGGUGAAUGAUCUCGCGAGAAAAGUUUCCCAUUCUUUCUGGAGCUUGACAGCUGCUUCAGGGGACAUGCAAGAGCUGAUGGCUAAAGAGAUCCCAGAGCUCUUCCAGGCAAAGAUCAUAGGAUCGCUUCCAGUGGUGGCUAAAUUUCCUCUCGAGGACUACGAGACCGCCAUGGAACAGGCAGAGAAGCAGGCCAGACAGGGCAAAGUCCUCCUUGUUGGAUGACGAAGCUUUGAAAUGGUCCCGUCCCGCGAGACUUUCUCCCACUCUAUAGACUGAAGAGAUUUCCUACUUGAAUUCUAUCUUGGAUCGAUCACCGACUGUGACAGUGGAGGAAGAAAGCUCGGACUAUUCCCGCUCACCACUUCCUCCGAGGCUGGCGUUGGAAACGGCGGCACAGCCACCUCCAAGUCGGGCUCCUCCAGCAUUUGCACCACCCGGCUCAUGCUCGGCCUGGACCUGGCGUCGAGCUGGAUGCACCAAAACGCCACCUUGAUCAUCCGCUCGAACUCGUUCCACUCCAAGUUUUUAAGCCCCGGGUCCGCGAUGGCGUGGAGCUCUCCGGCCACGUACUUUUGAAAAGCCCACACUGGAAAGUAGCGGUUCUGGCCGAUUCUCGACUUGUCGUUGCCGCUGAGCAGCUCCAGUAGCACCAUGCCGUAGCUGUAGACGUCCACUUUGGAGGUGAUGGGACGGUCGCCGACCCACUCGGGUGCCAUGUAGCCUCGAGUUCCUCGGAUGGUGGUCACAUCGAGAGCCCGUUCUUUGUCAAUGAGCUUGGCCAGGCCAAAGUCCGACACCUUUGGACAGAAGUUCUCGUCGAGGAGAACGUUUUGCGGCUUGAUGUCGCAGUGGAGGACGCAAUCGUAGCACUCCUCGUGCAAGUACGUGAUGCCCUUUGCAACACCAAGAGCAAUCGAGUACCUGUAAACCAACUUAGUAGACAAACUUUGGAAAGAGCACGAACAUACCUCGUUCCCCAGAGAUCGAUACACUCUUGGUCCAGUGAUCCGUUGCUCAGGAACUCGUAGACGAGUAAACGAUGGCUUCCCUCAGCGCAGUAGCCCAAAAGUUUCACUAAGUUGACGUGAUGAACCCUUCCAAGGGUGGCGACCUCGGCUUUAAACUGUUUCUCGCCGUGGCUGGCAGCUCCUUCAAGAGUUUUUACUGCCACCACCGUCAUAUCCGGAAGAACACCCUUGUAAACACUUCCGAAUCCACCGGCCCCGAGCUUGCAGCUAAAAUGGUUUGUGGCAACUUCCAGCUGCUCGUACGAGAACCAUGUCGGGCCGCGGUGAUCCUUGGCGGCUUUCUUCCACAUUCCACGAAGAGAUCUUCGCCAGCAGAACCACGCCGACAACGCGAUGCACAAGAAACUGGCGAGCUCUCCAAUUGCGAUGGCAAAGACCAGUCUGUGACCCGCGUCAGAGAAGUAACUCCAGUUUCUCAAAGAAUCGGGGAGUGACGGCGUAUAAGCAUCCAGGACCGUCACAAACACGUCCUCGGAGAAAGAAGUUGUCAAUGGAUCCAGUGCCGAAACUUUGAGAAGUGCGAUGGAGGCCCGCUCCAUUGCCUGGACACCAUUGAAGAGUCUUCCAUCUUCACCACCAAGAAGACUACAACGUUUUGUUCCCGCGAGCAUGUACGUAGCACCCAGGCAGCGGCAAUCCUUCAAACAAGAGACCUUGCACUGCUCGAGGGAAAUCGGGUCUUUGGAGAGUUGUUGCAAAAGAUUUCCAACGUACAUGGCCCUCUGAACUUCCACCAUCUUGCUCGCAGAAGAAGUAGCGUUACCGGAAGAACAGCUGAGGGGAAAUUUGCGGACGCAUCCGGCCGAUUCACUGGAAUCCACAGCAUAAAAUCCCGGUGGACACGAGCAGCUCUUCCUCGGCUUGUAUCCACACAAGCCAAAAGCUCCACACGUCCCAAAAACUUCACAUUCGAGCAAUGCCGACUGCCAUACCACUCUCCACCUUUUUUCCCUGCUGCCACAGCUAUAACUCCUCAACGUUCCAUUUUUUUCCAGCGUGAGCCUCCGGGUCACGCUCGUAUCACCGAGAUCUAUCGGGUACUUUUGAGCGUUGUCGAACUUGUAGCGGUACCAGGAGCUUCCGUUGGCAUCGAAAAAGGCAAGAUGACCAUCGAUGCUGAAAGUGAACUUCGGAGUAGAAGUCAUUGUCGACUCUGAGGUGUUGAGCUGCUUGUUGAUGAUGCCCCAGUAGGAAUGAUUCAAGUAGUCCUGGAAGUAGAGUUCAAUACCCCGUCUGUUCAUGCUAAGCCGGUAUUUUCCAGCGACCAAACUCGUAUUUCCACGAAGUUCUUGUCCAGGAAGGAGAGUAUCUGUUGGGAAGUCAAAACUUUGCCAAAUCCUGUCCGAGCUACGGUCGAGCAGCACAAAGUUGCCAGUUUCUUCCAAGGACGCGGUGGCGAUAGAACAAUUCUCACAGCGGACAAGCCAUACUGUCAUGGACUUGUCUGUAACGAUGAGUCCAGUUUCUUUAAGCUCGAGCUCUCCAGUUUUGCCUACUUUGAUCUUCGGUUUCUCGGUAGUGCUACCAUUCUUGAUGAGCGCUUCAGUGGCCUCCCAUACUACUGUUCCUGUGCUUUGAUGCCAGAUUGCAAGAGUAAAGAGCUCACCAAUCCCAUCGCUUGUGUGGAAUCCAAAUGCAAAAGUGUUGUUAAGUGACAUCCAUGGUGGCUGCCUCGCACCAAGCUUGUCUCCCAGUCCAAUCCCCUCGCAAUUCAGCACCAGGAGCACCAGUAGAACUAGCGUCACUAGUUUUGCUGCCAUCAGGAAAAAAACUUCUUGUUCUUUCUCCUGCAAAUGAAACUCACUAAUUAGAAAAGAAGUGAACUCUGAAAGCUAUAUCAGAACUACAAUUUGACUUGGUCGAUGUCAACUACAAGAUAUCCUCCAUGAUUUCUCAUAUCCUUCUGAGUUUUGCUACGAAUUCAUGGCAUUAAAAACAAUUGAAAAAAAAACUGAUCAUACCUCACAAGAACUACUUAUAAUAGUAGUAUCCUUAGCAAAGUCAAGGUGAAAGUAGAUGACUUUCACAACGAUUGACUUGGGCUUUGAUCAAUUCAAUCCGGGAACGUAACUCCAACGAAAGAACCACAUAACUUAAAAAGUCAGAACCGCAAAACAGAAGAAAAACUUAGCGAGAGCAAGCUUUGGAGAAACCAUGUCAGAAACAACAUUCAUGAAGCUACUUACUCUCAUGCUGCUGCUCUCUUCGACUUACUACAGCAGAGUCCUGGCCGACUUCUUGCGCGGAAGCACUGUCACAACAGGAAGCCCUUGGAGAUCGCCUGGAGGAAUCUUUGGAUUUGGAUUCGUAAUGCCUGAGUCUUCAAGCACCCGGAACUUCAAUUUCGCGAUCUGGUAUGAUAUAGACCCGAAGAAGACUGUCGUCUGGAUGGCAAUGGCAAACGGGCAGCUGGUCCAGGUGAGUGAAAAUGCCAAGCUUGAGUUGAAAGCCGAGGGAGGACUUUCCGUCACUGCUGGCAACAGCUCCGUCCCCUUCUGGCAAACCAAUCCUGGACAGUGUUGUGCUGAAAGUGCUGCGCUGCUCGAGAACGGGAACUUAAUUGUCCUUCGGAAAGACAAGAAAAUUGCAUGGCAGAUCUUCGACUCUCCAACGAACAACCUUUUGCCCGAGCAGCAGCUCCGCACGCAAGGAAAUCCGUCCUUGGGAUACACGAGGUUGAUUUCUCGUGUAUCUGGAGCAUACCAGCUUGUUCUCAACAGUGGUCAGGUGCUGCUCAAGAACUUAAAGCUGGAGAUCCCGCAAAAGUACUGGUCUAUUGCAAAUCCGACACUGAACUCCACCAUGACUUGCCUGGAUGAUGAAACCGGAGAGCACGUCUUGAACAACAACGCUUGCCAGCCCGAUCGUUCUCUCAAGUUCCCGGCCGUCUUGAACUUGAGCUCUCAAGGGGUCCUUUCCUUUUACGACGCAACUGGAUAGAGCUGGAUCAAUGAGUUCACAAGACUACGCGCUUGAUUAUGACGAUGCAAAUGUGUUGAGGAGACUUACGCUGGACGACGAUAGCAAUCUCAGGAUCUACAGCUUCGGCCCGAAGAACAAGAGUGGCUCCUGGAGCAUCGUCUGGCAAGCCGUCAUGCACGAGUGCGACGUCUUUGGAACAUGUGGACCUUUCGCUCUCUGCACCUACAGGCCCACAAAAACUUGCAGCUGUCCUCCUGGAUUUCACCGAGUUGAUCCAAACGACGAAUCGAAGGGAUGUGACUACAACAUACCUCUGGGAGGUUGUCAAAACUCCUCGAACUCGGUGAAGCUCGUCCAGGUGAAUCGAGCAGACUACUACUUCAACGAUUACAACUUCGACUCGACCAUCAAGUCGCUCGAGAAGUGCAAGGACACCUGCAUGCAAGACUGUAAGUGCCUGGCAGCCGCUUACAAGUACGACGGCACGGGCUUGUGCUUCCUCAAAGGCAGCUCCAACAAGCUCUACAACGGUAAGCAGACCUUAAACGAGAUCAACAUGGUGUUUAUGAAGUUGUCGAGCCUGGACACAUCUGCAGCCGACGACCAGCACGAUCCCUUCCUCGCGGAUGCAAACGCCACAGUGAGUGACCAAGUCAUGCCAAAGAUAAACAAACGGACAGUCUACCUCUCGCGGCACCUCCACUCCAUCAUUCUGUCCGUGGCCAUCGUCGAGCUCGGGCUGUUUGCCACUGGAGCCGCGGUCGUGGCGGCUGUGUGGAAGAAAAUCUCCGGCAAGAAAUGGGAGGAGAUGACGGCAGAGAUCGAGGGGCUCCCGACCAAGUUCACGUAUCGCCAGCUCCAGGAUGCUACGGAAAACUUCUGCAACGAGUUAGGCUCGGGAGGAUUCGGGAGCGUGUAUAGAGGAAACAUACCGGAGAAAGGUGGUAUUGUGGCCGUGAAGAAGAUCACCACCGUGAACCAGGCCGAGAAGCAAUUCAAAGCCGAGGUGAGCACGAUUGGAAGAGUACACCACGUCAACUUGGUCCGCCUCCUCGGCUACUGCGCUUAUGGAAACCGCCACCUCCUCGUCUACUAGUUCAUGCCAAACGGUUCUCUCGACCACCACCUCUCGGCCUCGUCCUCGUCUGCCGCCUCGCAAGAGAUCUUCUCAACCUGGGAGACACGACACUCAAUCGCGCUGGGGAUUGCCAAAGGAUUGACGUACCUCCACGAGAAGCGUGACGAGCGCAUCGUCCACUGCGAUAUCAAGCCACAAAACGUGCUGCUGGACGAGAGCUUCCGGGCUGGCGAGGAUGAUGAGAAAAGAAUCGAUGAGCAUCACCACCGUGCAAGGAACCAGGGGAUACCUGGCCCCGCCCCAAGGCCGACGUCUAUAGCUUUGGGAUGCUCCUGCUGGAUACCUUGAGCGGCAAGAGGAAGGCCCUCAUGGAGCUGAAGCAAUACGAGAAUGCGCCACUGCCACCGCCUGGCGAGUGGUAUUUCCCGAUCUAUGCCUUCCAAAAGUACAUGACCUCGGAGCUGGAGAGCAUUGCCGAUCCAAACCUGGCGAGCGGCAGCGUGGAUUGGGAGCAAUUCGAGACGGCGCUCAAGAUCGCGCUGUGGUACCAGGAUCCAGGAUCUAGGCCAGCGAUGAGCCGCGUGGUGCAGAUCCUGGAGGGCAAAGCGGAGGCGCCGGCGCCGCCAUUUCCAGACGCUGGCGAGGGUAAUUGAAAUAAUAAUAACUAAAUUUAAAAAAUUAUUAUGUGAUAUUUUUCAAUUAUCUUGUCUAUAACCAUAAUCAUUCACCAUUGCCAUUUCAUAGAAAGAUCAUAGUGAGAGGUGUGGUACUUCAUUCAUGGAAUAAGGUGAAUGGAAUAAUAUGAAAUGGAACAAGGUAAUAGAAUAGAUGUUUGUGAUCUUUGGCAUCCUUUCAUUAUCUAAGUUUAAAUAUGGUUAAGGAUAUGUGAUCUUAAGCCAAACCCUAUAUGAACUCUCUGCCAGCUCACUAUUGCUGAGAUUGAAGGUAUUAAGCCCUCAGAAAUCUUUUUAUUUCUGGAGGUUCUCAACAACCAUGAAGGUUGUUAUUGGCCUUUUAUAAGCUUUUAAAAAUGAUCUACCUGUUGAAAAUAACUAGACUAAAAGGUGUUGACCAGAACUUGAUCAAUUACAGCAUCUUUAGUGUCAAAAUCCACACUAUUUCCACAAACAGAAUCCAAGGAUACAAUAGUGUGGCUACUAGAGGCGCCUAAUUUAUUGAGCAUUGCAAGGAAGUGUGGGUGAUGGAAGACUAAAGACCAUUGCUUGGGAGCCCUGUGAGUGAUCUUCUUUAAUAUACUUAUUUCCUUUGACCCUUAUGACCUUAAAAAACAAAAAAAAAAAAAGUUAUUCUGAGAAUAUUCUGUUAUGUAAAAGUAUAAAGCUUAAAAAAGGAGAUUUACAUAGAUUGCACAAAGACAUUUACCUGGGGAAAAUUGGAGUCCAACACCAAACAGUAAUGAAGAUCUGGGUGGGAUGUUUGCCGUUACAUAUAUACCACCUAUCCAGAGGCCCAUGUAGCAUAAUGAUGGGCAUCUAAAUACACCAUAUAGCUCAAGUCAGCCACUCAAAUUUCUUAAUCUAGGUGCUGACCACUAUUUUAAUCAUUUGAACAAAUAUGUCUUACACAAGAUUAGAUACAAAGUCUAAACUUUGUACUUUCUAAAAAAGUAUACUGAGAUUUUUCACUAUUAUUAUUAUUAAGUAAAUUUGACCAAUAAAAUACAAAUAUAAAUAUAGAUCCGAACACUAAAAGCAAUCUAAAAACACUUCUCAAGCUCCGUAACUGUAAGGCUUGUCUAGUGGAUGUGAUGGUCGAUCUUAGGAUCUUGAUUUAGUUUAUGCAUAAAAAUGUAAUAGAUGUGUUUGCAGGCUAAAUAUACCUUUUCCUUAUUCUCCCUUUGUGUAAAAUCUGGACAGGUAUAGGAUGGAUUUUCGCAGAUUUUGAUAGUGUAGUUCGUACCUUUGAAGACUUAGUCACAAUAACAAACUCCUUAGCCACAACACUAAUGCAGUUUGUCUUUGUGAUUGUGCACUUCAACUCUUUUGCUAACUUGAUCUUCUUUUGUGCACCUUUUGAAAUGGAAGACUUGUAUUGUACAGCCUUCCCAUUCCUAGCUAGUCGUGUAUGCUGGUCUAGUGUUGAUAUUGGUGGCAUAGUAGUACUAACAGCAACAUUUGAGGAAGUUUUUAGCUUGAAAUCUACUCUCUUUAGACUUUCAAUUUCUUCUUUCAAAAGAUUGUAGCUUUGCUCAACUGGCCACUCCUCUAGCAUAGAAUCUGGCUUCAAAAUAAUUGAGCUGUGGAUCCAGCUUGUAUGAGUAACAUCAAUCCCACAACAGUAAAUCCAGCUUGACUAGCAGCCCUUCAUUCCUAGAUCUCGACAGCCCCAGAAACAUGGCAUUGUUAAAGAACUUGAACCUGAGCACAUAAAUGUGAGACACUAACCUCAACUCCCAAUCAUUCUGGAGCAACGUGCAUUGCUCUUGGCACUGACUCUUCGAAUUGCCUAGUUGAUACGAGAAACUAGCUCACAAGAAAUAACCUUUUCAACCUCUGGCACUGGACUUACUUGUGUAACAACUAACACGUCCUUCACUCCAUAUUCCUUAGUUCUUUUCCAGUGUCAUGGAACAGAAUGGUAGUCAAACUCUGGACGGUGAGAGCUAGGAGUGAUGUUUGGCCCAUCAAAUAUCUGUUAACGCUUCAUCCGAGCUGUUCUCAUGUCCCCAAGUGGUUUAUAACUUGAUUCAUAGGAAUUCUAGCAACAACUUCCUCCACCAUCUUAGACAUUAACCUUGUUGUUGGUGUUGUCCUUCUACCAACCCGCUCUCGAAGCCUGUCUAAGUUCGGACCUGUACUAGCAAACCUUGCUUCCUAUACAGCUAAAGCUUUUGAUGACUGCUCAAGAGAUCUAGUGAGGUCGGAGAGCAUAGCUUCAUAAAGGAACACUUUUCCUUUCCCUGCUUCAAAAGCUCUCUGACUCCAAUGUUUUCUCUCAGAGAGAUUAAUUGUUGGUGUAAGUGCUAUGUCAUCAAGUGGUUGAUCCUAGGAAAAAUGCAACAUUUGAAUGUGACAAGAAAGAAAAUGAGAGAAAGCUUACAUAGAGAGUAUAAUAACCCCACUAAAACAUUCAAACUUCCCACCAUAUGCUCUAUUUCGUUAAAGUGGGAUUUAUUCAAUAAAAUGGGACUAGGUACAAAUUUUCAAGUAUUUGAAAAUGACGUGAAAUUAUAUGUUUUUUGUCCAGGGGCUAGACAUAUCUGGGGCAUGGUGACUUUAUGUCCAGAUUGAGUCCAUCUGGUUGUAUAAUAAAUCUCAUUGUCAAGGUGAACAAGCCGAAUCUGAAGCUAAAGAAGAACGAUGGCAUGCGCGCACACACUAUUUGUUUGUUCAUUGAGUGUGUGGUGAGUUUUCCAAGAUGAACGUCAUUCCUAUUAGCCAGACAUAUAACUUAAUGGUGAGAACAUUUAGAUAUUAUUCAAUGUUAUCUUUUUCUAACGAAUCUAAUUGUGAAGGUGUAGCAAGAGGCAUUGCUAGUCUGGAGAAGUCAUUUAACUCAUUUGACCCUUAGUGUAUUUUCAUGAAACUAAAUAACAUUCAUAUUAUUAAGGAAUUUCUCUAGUACCUUUUUUUUACGACAUAGAGGCUUGCAUUUCUUUCAAAGGUGAUUUAGUAAAAGGCCUGAGGGCACAUGCCAUUCUAUUUCUCAGACCGGUAUUAAGAUAUACUAGUGCAAAGGGAAAAAGGUAUUUGGUGAUCAAGUAAAUGGCAUGAGGGCACACGCCAUUAUAAGCCUAAGCGCUAGUGGACACCUCCUUUUUGGUACUCUCAGCGGUACUAUCAUCCUUCUCUGGGUCAGUUGUUUUGCUUUGGAUUGUUGUCUCUGAUGUUACUGGGGCGUUCUCGAUAGUUGUUAAUGUUGCCGUUUGUUCAGAAAAAUGAUCACCUGGAGUAUAGUACGGGGAGUUUGGAAGACUUAUAUAUUCUACAUCUUCACCUAUCUCCUUCUCCGUCUCCUUUUCUGCCUCACUUACAGAUUUUGUGCUUGCCAUGAGAACGCUCUUCACCCUAAAAUAUGGAGUUCGUUGUGUUAUAAAAGGAAACCAACACACACGCUGCAAGGGAAUGAUGGUACAUAAAGCACGUAAGCCCACAAUAUGGGUUUAUGUGCCAUUAAUAUGGGCCACACACCAGAUUUAUGCACGUGUGAUUGGUAAAUGCAUAUGUCACAUCAUCUUUGUUUUACCUCACACACUAUAUCAGGCCUAAUGAACCAUAUCACAUGUGCGCACAUGCUAUAUAUAUGGAGAAGUAUUAUGCAAGGAUAGAAAUUCAAUGCAUGAUUGUGGAGAGCAAUGGCAUGAAGCCACAUGCUAAAUAACAUUUUAGAGAAAGAAUUAAAAUAAAAACAUGCAAACAGUACUAAGUGGACCAAGACUUAGAAGUGCACAAUUGAAUGAGGUAUUUCUAAUAAAUACUUCACUCACCUCAUAUAGGAAUGGCUACCACUCUCAAAUGGCGUAUCGCCUCAUGCCAUCACCUCGCAAUUUGUUAUAACAAUCCGAUGAAUUCAUAUUCGGCUUGUUCACCUUGAACUUUAAGUAAGAUUUGCUAGAACAACUAAGAAUUUAUACUUGUUAUUUAUAUCAUCUCACCUAGGAAUGGCGUAAGGCCACAUGCCAUCACGCCUCCUCUGAUUCAGAUUCGGAUUGUUCACCUUGAAAUAAAAUACAUUAGAAACUUAGUAAAGGAAUAUUCAUGAAUCUCACCUUGAACCCGGGUUAUGAAUGCUCUUGCUGCAUCUCUUGCAUGGUCUGGCAAGGUGAUGGUGGCACUCUGCUUCCGCAUCCAACCAUGCACAACAUUAUCCACCGAUAUGCUCAUGCUGGGAUCCCUUGGAUUCAGCACCCAUCUCUUUUCUAGGCAAUCGUUCGUAUAUCCGGAACUUGGCUUGAACCACUCCACAGUUACAUUGAAGGAGUUAGUUUCCGCGUCCUCCUCUGCAUCAGUGAUGCAGCGCCCCACCCAUAUCAUUUGUUUUUUAUUAUUGGGUCUGACAAGCAUGACCAUUCCUUUGCAGACCUGUACUGGAUUGAAUGCUGAAUCUGGCUUCUUGUUCCUCGGCCCACAAUAGUGAUCCUCAACAUCGUUAUCUGUCACUGCAUUUCCAGAGGACAUUGUUCCGCUACUAUCUGGUGCUCUGGGUUCUGGCUAAAAGGACUCUUCCAAUUCUUCAUAUACAACCGGCCCAUUUUGGAUAGCAGAUAUAAUCUUCUCCCAGUAUUCGAGCAAAGGUUUGCACCUCUGAAAAUAGGAUUCUCCACCAAACACCAACCCCCUCUUCCAGAAGGCAAUAUGCUGUCUAAUCCCGGCCACUAUACUUUCCUGGUCUUUGAGUCCACCGGGUGCAUCGGCCGUGGGGAACCUUGAGGAAUCAUAGGUUCCCCAGUUAUGGGAUUUCUCUUGAAGAGUUCAAUGCCGUCCACUGGCAGCCACACUGUGUCCCAUUCUCUCAUCUUGUACCUCAUCACUGGAGCACCGUCACACAUGCUGAAAUGAAACUGAAGAGGCUUGGAGUGGCCAAUCAGCGUUUCGGAUCCGUCCCUGAUGUAGCCUCUUACAAACCCCUUAAAGUCUGGAACCUCUGUCAGAAGUGCAGCUUCAACAGUGCCUUUGAUGGAAUUUUGGAAUUCAUCGUAGAGUUGUGGGAGGGUGAGGACAUUGGAUCGCCGGAGGGACUCUGCCAGGUGACUGAACAUGGCAUCGACGUCUUCAUGAGUGUGCCCAACCAUGAGAAAGCCAAGUGUAACCGUUUCAAAUAUGCCUUUGGCAACAAGCAUCGCCAAGUACGCAAAGACGUACAUGUUUUUGUUCUCACUGCCAGCAUUGUCUGUUUGGAGCAGAAGAUGGGGUGGAAGGCCACAUCGGCCGCAAGAACUUCCUUGAGAUUCUGCUUCGUUUGGAUGAGGCUGUGCAUUCACCGGGCGACCAGCCUCGUCGGAAUGGCAUGAGGCCUCACGUGAUAACCCUACAAUCUGACGGCCAACAUAUUCACUGGGAUGGCAUGGGGCCCCACGCGAUACUGCAAGCCUUUGCUCCUCCUCCAGCUGAACCCUGUAUGAGGUUCGAUCGACAAGGGCCUUAUGCAAGGGUUGGCCGUUCAGCUCAGUCUGCGCACUUUGCAGAGACCUUAAGUGUUUUGCUAGGGACGCAAUCAUCAUGUUUGCACCCCCGCCACCCCAUAGAGGUACAAAGAAGUUCCCAUAGUUCUGGGCACCAUGCCCAUGAGCGAUUAUGUCAAACAGAGACACAGGCAGCUGCAUGGAUGAAGAGAUUGCCUUGGGGGCAGGAUUGAGUCGAGGUAAGCACGUUUUUUUCUGGUCCAUUUUGUCGUGGAUGAUGCAGAGGUAAGAGUCAAAUCUCUCCAUGGAGAGAAUCCUGUUAUGAUAAUAUGCAGUCCUGCAGCUUCUCUGCUCGAUGUUGUGGUCGAGCCGCCUUCUAACCAACGUCUCUCGCUCUUGAGUGCUAAAAGAAUUCUUUGACAAAGCCAUUUUGAUAGCAGUGCACUCGUCACACUUUGAAAAGCUGGAGUACUUUCCUAUACUCACAUCCCUGAACCUGUUUCUCCACAAUCUACUAAAUCUAGAUUGGCUCAGCUUCCUGUAGCCAUUACUCUGGAGUUCCCGAUUCACAUCUUCCAAUAUGGCCCCCUUGGUAUACAUGGAAGGGAGAACUCGUUGGGUGUCUCGUGUUCUAUCUUCCAAGAGGCGGGUUUUAUGUGGUUGCUGCUCGCUACAUGUCUCGACAAACCUCUUGAAGAUUGCCUCUCCAUAUACAACAUGACCCCUGGUUUUGUGCGUACUGUCGUUCCCAUGGACUGCCUGUUGAAGCCUUUGUUCCUCGAACUCAGUUUUGAUUCUGUAGAAUGUGGUUUGAGGGACUCCAUAAAUGAUUCUCCAUGCCUUCAUGCAGACCAAACCCCUCUGGAAGACCAUGCCCCCCACCUGAUGUUCUGAAGCAUCAAUAGAUGACCAUAAUGCCUCAUACACAAAAUUGCGAGCUGCCUUCCAGGACAAUGUCUUGUAUCUUGCUCUCUCCUCUUCAAUAGCAUCCCAAUCAGCAUGUUGACAGCACCUCCUCUUGAAACAAGCAACUGUCGAGACCAUUCGAACCUCCAUUGCCAUUUUCUGCCUUUUUGGUUCGUUGCUCAGAUCCCUUUGGCUGCGCUUUAGGAAGGUGUACUUUCUUUUCCCAUGAAGAGAUGUUCUGUCAUCAGUUGUAGUGGUGUUUGAUUGUGAAUCCUUCACAUUCUCAAACACUAAGUGCCUCAAUUUCCACCGCACAAUGCUUCCAAUAGUCAGACUGUUUUCUUCUGUGUCAACAACUUCUAAAAUCGCAACUCCAAUAUCAUCCCAGCCCAAUUCUUGAUUAGCAACCGCAUCUCUUGGAUCGACAACUGUGGCUAAGCCCUCAGCUACCACCUCCCCCUCGGGGUUGUUUAGAAACACCUUUGCCUGAAUCCAUGUAGCACGGUUCUUAAGAUCCACGGAGGGAACAUGCGUCGCACUUGCGGCGUCCCCAACAUCUGCUUUCUUCUGAAGAUUUUUCAAGGCAACAACAACAUUUACCCCGACGACCAUCUCUCCUCGUUCAAUAGCGACCACAUUCCCAUCGAAGACAGUCUCUACUGAUACAGCAGCAUUGCCUUCCCCAAGCCUUUGACAGUGUAUAACAAAGUUCCGAUCCAUAGACACAAGGGUCCCUUUUGCAACUUGCUUCCCACCAUUCAAAAUGUAAACCUUUUCCCCAACCCUGAAGGCCAUUAUUUUUGUGUGCGUGACUAGUCACCCAUACAAAAAUAUAUACAGUUGCAGCAAGGCAAAAGGAAUAUGGCAAUAGGCUAGGAGGGGCCAAAGAUGGCAUUAGGCCUCAUGCCAUCUUGAUAUACACACAGCUGCAGGCAAGUAAAAACAUACAUGACAAUACGCUAGCCAUGAAAUUGCAAGGGCCCAAGAUGGCAUGUGGCCUCAUGCCAUUUCUAAAUGUGGUCCUAAGCCAUUCCAUGGUGAACAUACCAGGAAGCACAAGUGCCGAAUAUCAAGAGGAAGCGGUAGCCACACCAAAGACAGUGCCGCUCGCAACACCGCAACUACUCGUAGUGCCGCUCGCAACACCGCAACUGCUCGUAGCGCCGCUCGCACAAACUGCCACUCGCAUAAACUGCCGCUCGCAAUGGCGCUCGCAAUGCCGCAACCGCUCGUAGACGCAUAAACCACAGCCCACAACGCCGCUUACACAAGCAGCGCUCACUGCGCUCAGCGGAACCAAGAACACGGCGCACAAAAAUGAUAGACCUAGGAAUGAGUUCAAGAAUUCAAAAAUAGCACACGCUUGAACGUCAAAUCCUCUGACAAACCAGAUCUUAUGAUUCCUCUGACAAAUUUCAAACUGAGUAGCUUCUAGACUUUGCUGUCGGAGGUUGAACUUUGUCACAUCAUGUCCUUGCCUCGAUCCAGCUGUGCCAUGUCAGUGAUUCGAACUUUGCCAUGCCAUGUCAGCGAUCCGCGCCAAGAUUAUUCGCCGUGUAAAGGAAUAAUUAUGCUGUGUGUGUACGUCCAUUUAUGGCAAUAUAAGGCCACACGCCAUUCAAAGAAUAAUGCUAGUCGAGCAUUUUUUGGUGCAUUUUUGGGUUCAAAAUUGCAUGAGCCCACACGCUAUAAAGUUUACCUGUACCAAAAAUAGAAACAGCUUUAUUUACUUGGGAAUUUAAGUGGUUGAGGCAUUUUUAAACUUACAAACACAUGCCCUACUUACAUUCCUUUAGUUGCUUAAAAUUCAAAAAUAUUAUAAACCUUUCUUUUUGCAUUUUCAAUGUUUUCAAUUAUGGUUUUUGAUUUUCGUAGGACCAGCCUAGUAAUCUAUUUGCAUCCCGUCAUGUUUAUAGCUAGCUUUCGUUUGUCCCCUUCGCUAGCCUGAGAUACAUCUGCUCGGCAUCUGCCUCUUACAGCAUUUGCCCAGAAAGGGCAUCUUUCUUCACGCAGCAUUUGCCACAUGUUUAGGGUUUAGGGUUUAGCAAUUCAGUAGCUUGAUAAACAUGCAAAUACAGAACUUGAUGCAAAAUCCUUUGAUAUGUCACAAUGCCCCUAGGACCAUAAACACAUUUCAAUAGAGAGGGUCCUUUCAUUUCAUAACUCCUUACGUAGAUCUUGGUGAAACUAGAGUUAGUGAAGUUAGUUUCUUGUGAUCCCGCAUCUGAUUGUGAUGUCCCUUUGCAGUUUCGAUGGAAAGGUCAAUGCACACCAAACUGUAAAAUCUUGGAGCAAAAUAACGGUCGGAUCUAUGGCAAAUGCCCCUGAAACAUUGUAAGGCUCGUGUGGUCUCAUGUGGUGUCCGAUCGAGAUGCUUCUUUGCAGGGUCAUCAAGAAAGACAUUGUAUACCAUUCUGUAAAAUCUAGUUGCGAUCUAACGGUUGGAUCUCCAGAAAACUCAAAAAAAUCUCACGCGUGUCAGAAUAUCCUAGGAAUAUACUCCUAUGUGCCCCUGAAAAUGGCAUGCGGCCCCACGCCAUUCAAGAGAUAACGCCAGAUGACGCCGAGAAUUUUUUGGUGCAUUUUUUGGGUUCAAAAUUGGAUGAGCCCACACGCUAUAAAGUUUAUCUUUGCCAAAUAGAGAAAAGUUUAUCUGUGUCAUGUGAGGUAGUUACAGUCCUUUGUGCUCGGCAUCUGCCUCUUGCAGCAUUUGCACUGAAAGGGAAUUUUUCUCCAUUCAGCAUUUGGCCCUGAAAAUGGCAUGCGCCCACACGCCAUUCAAGGAAUAACGCCACAGGACGCCUGGAUUUUUGGGUUUAAAAUGUUUAGGGUUUUUUGGGUUUUUUCAAAAUAUUUUGGGUCCAACGUUUUUUGGGUUUCUUUGGUUCAAAAUUGCAUGAGCCCACACGCUAUAAUAUUGAUUUGAGAGAAAAAUAGAAACAGAUAGAAUUUCUUUAUUUAGCUGAACAUCUGCCAUUUUUGGAAAUACAAGAUGCUUUGGAAUAUCCAAUCAUGCAUGGUAUAAAUAUAGCGAGGGUAUUAAAUGAUAUCCCAAUCAUGAUCUUUCUUUUGGAUUUCGCGUGCAUGCAGUCCGAGGAAUGAUGACGUUGCGGAUUUCUUUUGGAUUUUGCGUGCUUGCAUGCGUGCGGCAAUCCAGAAAUUAAUGGUGGCGCCCAAGUCCAAGGAAUGAUGACGUGGCGGGAUUACCAACCAUUGUGACAUUUCGCGCGUGUGAGGUUAGGUUUUGCAUUUUGCUUUGUACUCGCGCUCGCGCUUGCACACUCGCGCUCGCGCUUGCAUCACACUCGCGCUCCCGCUCGCAUCGCGCUCCCACUCGCGAUCACGCUCACUUCUCUACAGGUUUCUCGUGUGCAUCGGCGUCCACUCGCGCUUGCAUCACACUCGCGCUCGCAUCGCGCUCGUGUGCAUCAGCGUCCACUUCAUGACACACCCAGUUUGUAACUUCGCCGCCAACUCCGCCGCCCACUCCGCCACCCACACGCAGCCCACUUGGCGUCCCGGGAGAUUUCAGCACUACUCUCCAACUGUAAGUGGCAGAGUAGCCUUGCUGCUACGAUCCGCUGCACACACAGUGCACAUCGCCAGCGAGUCCGGCCUCGAUUGUCACGGCCUCCAUUCGGCUUCAAAUGGUAAGUCUUUUAGGCCAAGUAGAAAAUGGCAUGAGGCCACAUGCCAUUCAGUAGCAACAUUGGCAUGCACCAAUUGGGCUCUCGAGUGCAGUCCGGUUACAGAUGGCGUGUAGCCUCACGCCAUCUUAGGAUGCAGCCUCAAGACAUCUGAUGCAGUGGUGAAUGGCGUGUGGCCUCACGUUAUUUCCAGCUGCUAGCUUUUCAUCUGUCAGCUCUAAUUGUUGUGCAUUUCUGAACAGGCGAGGAAUUGCGUUCUUCUUCCAGCCACUGUCAAUGUGGAUGCAGAGAAGGGGGAGGAGCUCACCAGUUGGACUUUCGGGAUGGAAGGCGAGGAUCUGAUGCUGUACAACACAGAUGGUGGGAGAAAAGAAUGCAUGGGGAUCCUCAUCCAAGUGACAGACACUCCAUGCAGUUCCAUGCAAGAAUAUGGACUGGCACUUGUGGUAGAGACAGCGUCCGCCUUCAAGAUCCACCUUGCACAUCCUAGCGGCUUCCCGGAGGGGGGCAGCGGCUAUGAGGAAUUCCUAGAGGGAGCUAGGGAGAGGUUGUCCAGGAGGCCCACAAUUUCAAAGACGCUGCGGGUUUAUGAAGAUCACAUGGAAUCCACGGACCUCACCUACGGCGAUGUUCAAAAACUAUAUUCCAACAUUGAGCCGUUGAGAGUGCCUCCAGUUUGCGAAGCGAAGGGGAAGGGGGUCGAUCUGGAAACUACCCUGAAGCAGAAAAGGGUGGUCAAGCUCAAGCCGACGUCCGACUCUGCUGCUCCAAAAAAGAAGCUACUCGGUGAUGCCAUUGCCUCGGGUUCGAACACUACACCCACCAAAAAGAAGAGCCGCAAAGAGCAAAAAGAGCAAGAAGAGGCAGCAAAAAUCGUCGCAGAUAAUAGUACUUGUUACUAUUCCAACAAAGUAUAUACAAUCGACGUGAGCCGUAUCGAGAUCCAAAGCAAAUACAACCACAGGCUAGUAUCUAAUGAGUGGGUGGAGAAACUGAAGCAGAAGAUGCUGGCAAGUCCAGUAACACCCGACAUCGCAGACGUGAUCCCCUACUACUGAACAAUGAAGGGCGAGACAAGGUUUCCAGACUUGAUCAAUAGGAAGGUGUUGGACGAUCAGAACAUCCGGUUCUAUGCCGUCUCCGGGCAGCAUUCUAGCUUGGCGAUGCAACAGAUAGUUGUGGAUAUUAUGGUGGGCGAGGAGGUGAAGAAAGUCUUCAAGACAAGAGUUGUCCGCCUGAUAAAAGGCAACUCGCCCCUCCGAUCUAUCAUAUACAUCUCCCACGCGCAGAAUGUCAAGCAAGAAACGUGCUACAAAUCGGGUCUGCACGAGACAUUGGCACGAACACGGAAGCUCUGGGUUCAACUGAAGAAGCCACAAAAACCAGGACAAGGAUGUGCACUAGCAACUAGCGCCUGGCAGGUAAGCCUCGUUGCAUGUGGCAUAGCAUGUGGCCUCACGCCAUUUCCAUUGCAGGAAUUCUCGAGUCUUCUCUCGAAAACACUGGGGGUCAAUGACACACUCAGCAUCCAUAACAUUCUACUCGCGACAAAAGUUGUUUUUGACAAAUGGGUAGAUGUGCUGAGGAGGUACCAUGACGGGGAGUUGCUAAACUCAAUGGGUGUGGAGGACGGCCGGAAGCCCAAUGAUUUGAAUCUCAAUGCCUUGCGUUUCUCGCGGUCUCUAGACGACGACGACCUUCUGACAGUGGCUAAUGCUCUUCUACGUGGUGAGGUAGUCUUCAACAAGACCAAAAUGACUCCCGGCCAUAUUGUGACAUACAAGGACUUGUGCACGACUCUGAGAGCUCGUGCGCUAUUGAAGGAUUGGAUCUUCUAGCAAGUGGCCGUGGCGAGGGUGAGCAUCGACACCACGCAAGAGAUGAUGGAAGAGCUGGAGUUGUCAAAUGAAGACAUCGACGAGUACGUGAAGGGGGCCCCCAAGUUCAUCGAUCUGCUGCGGGAUGCCACGAAAAGUAAAGCUGAGAAGUUGGAUCAGUAUCCAAAUUUCAUUAAGAGGGAUGUCGACCGCCGGCUUCAGAAACAGCUCGACCCCGCAACAGAGGCCUAUCGAGAACCUUACCGGGUAUACGUGAAUUCAGAUGAGGAUCAAAGGUGGAGGAGCAUCGUUUCCCGCGGAGAUGAGCAGGUCAAGAACAUCUUUUGUGUGAUGGACUUCACAAACGAGGAGAUCACUCAUGCAGAUGAAGUCAGCUCCAUCAUUGACUUAAUGGUGGGACUUGCGGAGGUGGAAUCUUCAGUCCACUAUAUGAUCUACGACUCCGAAUCCUAUCACAAGUUCUGGAAGGCCUUGAACGAGGUGAAGGCUCGGUUGAAAGGCAAGGAGAUGCGGGAGAUCCAUGGGAUAAUGGCUAAGAAGAAGAUACCGACGAAUGUCCGCAUCUUCACACUCGCCCUUGUUAUUGGUCCUACAGCAGAGUGGGAUUGGAGUGACUUCCCAGCUUCGUUCGACAAGGCCGAUCGAAUUGAUCUGAGGGAGAUCAAUUUACCCGUGCCUGAGGAACUGAAGACGGCUAUGGAGCUUUCGAAUCCAAAGAAAGCUCCAGGUGCAGCAUGGGAAAUGCUCAGCUGGGUCUUCAACGCAAUAGCAGGUGACUCCAAGGGCAAAUGCGUUGUCGAGUACAACUGCGGCGGACUAUUCUUUCGAGCUGCACUACUCAAGGGUGUCCCGUGUGUUGCGGUGACAAACUCCAUUGAAGAGGUGACUUCAAUGGAGCAUAUAAUUACAGUUGCCAAAGAAAAACAGUAUCUUCUCUACGAACCUGGUGAGUACGCACUUUAAGUUUAAAUGUUAUCUCACAAGCUCUGUAUGCAGGAGCGUGGCCACCCCCAGAUGCUGAAACGGCGUUAACAGCUACUGAUGUUAGGCCGAGCUCACAACCUGCACAAGGUAAGGUCACGUGAGGCCUCACGCCAUUUUGAUUAUAGAUCGUUGUGAAUAUUCAGACACGAGGACUGAAAAGCGCACUGGUGGCGCGUCGAAGAAGGACAAACAGACAAGCAAUAGGAAAAAAGGAGGUACAAAUUAUAUUUGCAAUGGCGUGUGGUCUCAUGCCAUUCCUUGCAGGAGACACUUCUUCAAAGGCAAAACAGGCAAGCACCAGCCAAGCUCAAACUGACAGUGGUCGGGGCGAACAGCUUCUUCACGUACGAGAUCAAGGAUGCGCGGAACGGUUUGAUGGUGAACAGGGAAUUUGAGAGAGAAGAAAUCCCACGACUGUGGCAAAAGUGGAUCACGCUAGGAGUGGAGGUGGACCAGGUGAUUGACAAUACCGUGGCGUUCUGGAAAUUACCGAUCCAGGAAAAAUCAAAGGUAACCUCUUGGCUCGUGGCGACGAAUGGGCUGCCAGUAGGCCAGCAAUUUCAAGCGGAGAAUGCUCGCAGGUGUCCGGAAUGCGGGGAACUGGAGACGGUCACACACCUCCUCUGGGAUUGUGACGUGGCCAAGGAGACGUGGCGGCAGGUAGCAAAAGCAACGAGGGAACUAGGGGACAAGCAGGAUUUUGAAAUUCGAGAAGGGGAUGUCACCCAAUGGUUUCCAAAGGCAAGGGGACCAUGCACAGGAGCAGCUUGGCGGAAGAUCGGGUGUUGGGGACGCUCAGGAUGGGGCACCCGAGUUAGGUGGGACGCGGUAGGCGCUGAAGUUGGGACUACAGUGUGGGAGGCCCUUGGACGGGCGAGAUGGGAGGUAUGGCGGGCUUCCGGGGUACAGGCACUCUGGGAGGCUCGGAACUGCAACCAAUUCGAAGGGCAGUGCACUCGGAUUUCAGCGAUCAUGGCGAAUUGGUGGAGGCUCACACUGGCUGCUAUCCGCUUGAGGGAUACGCUGCUCCAGGAGCAUGGGAAAAACAGGGAGGCACUCACAGCUUGGCGACGAUUAUGGACUCCGUGCUACGGAACUGAACACGAGGGGGAGGUCAAGUGGAAAUGGAGACCUUUGGACACAGUAACAAAGGAGGCUUGACGUGGCGAUCUGGCACUAGAUGCACUGCGGAGGCGACGACCACAGCAGCCACGAUUGGAGGGCAGCGAUCACUAUUAGGUGGAGAAUUGCAGGACAGCGUAGUUGAGUGAACAACGCUAAGGGAUUCUUGUUUUUUGUAUCAGUCCCUAAGGGACUUGGAGAAAUGUACAUACACGUUGCAUCAAACUGACAGUGGUCAUAAAAAGCGAAAGCACGUUGGACAGUCGUCGGGAUCAGAGGCGUUUGAUUCGAAAAGGAAGAAGGGCAACAAAAAGAUGAUAGGUAAUGCCUCGCGGUUAUGGCGUGUGUGCUCAUGCCAUUCAUUGCAGAUCAAGGGCUGAGUGAAAGGAGCCAGUCACCACCUUCUGACUCAGAUUCCUAUGGCGGACUCCCCUUCCCCAAUCUCAAUGGAGAGGUACAAUGGAUGAGGGAUGCUUUUCAAGUCAGGGCCACGUUUUUCUCAUCUCGUCAUCUUCGAAGGCUGCAAGAACGUGCAGAAACCAUGUUAAGACAGUCGGGUGAGGAUACGGUCCUAGGUCACGCACUAAAACAGGCUAUGGAUGUCUUGUAUUUUGAGAUGGAGACUCGGCCAGAUGAUUUUCCCAAGAUGGUCCUGGAAAAACAAGCCAUCCAGCCUGAGCAGCCUAUGGAAGAAAUGCAGGAGGGGGAUGAGGAGCCAGAGAAAGAUAAUGAGCAGGAAGAGCAGAAGGACGAAGAGGAGGACAAAGAAGAGGAGGACGAAGAAGAGGAAGAUGAAGAAGAGGAGGACGAAGAGGACUUGGAUGGUCCUCACAAUGGUGACGAUCACAAUAACGACGAUGACGAUGAUGAUGACGAUGGCCAGCCUGAGGUGGCCAAAGAGCAGCGGAGGAAGGUCAUACAAGACAAACCAUUAAGUAAAUAAUAGUACAUCCAUUCCUAACCUUUUACCAUUUCUAACAUUGUCCAUGUAGGUCGCAGAAGAAAUGGUAAGUAGAGAUUAUUCAGUUGAAUUAAGAUACAAACUCUAGCCUUUAGUGUCGAGGAAGGAUAGUGCCAAGCAAAGGUCGAAACAUAUGUCCAAUCCUUCAGAAUCAGCAGUGCGCCCAAGUGAUAUCGGUCCUAGUUCCUCAAUAGCAGUUGAUGGUAAAUACAGUAUAGUCGAUUCAAUGUGCUAAUGAGUUUGUUUUUAGUAGCCAGUAGGGAGGAUACCAUCUCAAUCGAAGGGAGAUAUUUGGACAUGCAUAUGGAUCCGCCAGUGGACUCUACUUGCCUGCAAGAGUCAUCAGAGCUGGUGGAGGCUACUAUCCAUAUCAACACCAAGCAAGCUGACCACGCUCCACUUGAUGCUGCCCAUACCACUGAGUCAAUCUUGUCCACGUAUCCAACUGACGGUGACCAGGCGCCAUUGGACCCGCAUGAGGCCGCCCCAGCCGCCGAGCCGGUCGUAUCCUCAUUUCCAACGUGUGCCCAAUCGUCUGACUACGCGCCAUUGGAACCUCCCUACACCGCCCCUGCUGCCUGUUCGGUCAUGUCCACUUUGCCAACGGAGGCAUCAGCUGAAAUGGCGUGUGAUCACAUGCCAUCGGAACCACCCCAUGCCACUGUUGAGCCAGUUGUACCAGAGUCUACAGCUGAAAUGGCAUGUGCCCACACGCCAUCGGAUGCGAUUGACCCCACAUUGCAGAGGAGAGUAUUUCCGCCCUUCACGUUUCCUCGACCAAAACCCUCUCAACGACCAUCGGGAGCACCAUUCGCUAAUAUUGUAGAUGGUAAAAUUGACUUGUACCAUUUUUUAUGUUGACGCAUUUCAUUUCAGAGUCACGGCGAAAGUACUGUAUCGUUUUUGAUCUGAACGGUGUCCUUUUCUCCCAUGAGCGUGGCUCGUCCUCGAAUGUCACUGCACCCUCCAAAGCCUGCGGUCGCAAGUUGGUCAAAAGAGACAGAUUCACAUUAAUCACACGGGAAAAACUGCGGGAUCUAAUAAUGACCAUGCGACACUUAAAACAGAGGGCCGGGUUCAAUUUGCAAUUGGGAGUUUGGACAUCCAUGAUGCGCCACAAUGCAUUAACGUUGCUACAGAUGAUGCACGAUCAGACGCGAGUAAUAUUACCAUUUGACUUUCUCCUAACACAGGAGGAUUGCUUGACUAUGGUCCAUGUGAGGGGUAGCAAGCCCAUCUUCGUCAAGCCAGAGGCUGUAGUGAUGAACCGGACUGCUAGGUCAAGUGAAAUCCUCAUCAUCGAUGACUCGCCGAUUAAAACUGCAGCGAACACGCACACAUAUGCAGUGCACCCCAUCUCUUGCAGUUUGGAAACUAGGGAGAAGAAACCGUAUGUUCUGGGGGACCUUCUGGAGCAUCAACACCACGCAAGAGAUGAUGGAAGAGCUGGAGUUGUCAAAUGAAGACAUCGACGACUACGUGAAGGGGGCCCCCAAGUUCAUCGAUCUGCUGUGGGAUGCCACGAAAAGUAAAGCUGAGAAGUUGGAUCAGUAUCCAAAUUUCAUUAAGAGGGAUGUCGACCGCCGGCUUCAGAAACAGCUCGACCCCGCAACAGAGGCCUAUCGAGAACCUUACCGGGUAUACGUGAAUUCAGAUGAGGAUCAAAGGUGGAGGAGCAUCGUUUCCCGCGGAGAUGAGCAGGUCAAGAACAUCUUUUGUGUGAUGGACUUCACAAACGAGGAGAUCACUCAUGCAGAUGAAGUCAGCUCCAUCAUUGACUUAAUGGUGGGACUUGCGGAGGUGGAAUCUUCAGUCCACUAUAUGAUCUACGACUCCGAAUCCUAUCACAAGUUCUGGAAGGCCUUGAACGAGGUGAAAAAGGCAAGGAGAUGCAGGAGAUCCAUGGGAUAAUGGCUAAGAAGAAGAUACCGACGAAUGUCCGCAUCUUCACACUCGCCCUUGUUAUUGGUCCUGCAGCAGAGUGGGACUGGAGUGACUUCCCAGCUUCGUUCGACAAGGCCGAUCGAAUUGAUCUGAGGGAGGUCAAAUUACCCGUGCUUGAGGAACUGAAGACGGCUAUGGAGCUUUCGAAUCCAGAGAAAGCUCCAGGUGCAGCAUGGGAAAUGCUCAGCUGGGUCUUCAAUGCAAUAGCACCUGCUUCCGACUCCAAGGGCAAAUGCGUUGUCGAGUACAACUGCGGCGGACUAUUCUUUCGAGCCGCACUACUCAAGGGUGUCCCGUGUGUUGCGGUGACAAACUCUAUUGAAGAGGUGACUUCAAUGAAGCAUAUAAUUACAGUUGCCAAAGAAAAACAGUAUCUUCUCUGCGAACCUGGUGAGUACGCACUUUAAGUUUAAAUGUUAUCUCACAAGCUCUGUAUGCAGGAGCGUGGCCACCCCCAGAUGCUGAAACGGCGUUAACAGCUACUGUUGGGCCGAGCUCACAACCUACACAAGGUAAGGUCAUGUGAGGCCUCACGCCAUUUUGAUUAUAGAUCGUUGUGAAUAUUCAGACACGAGGACUGAAAAGCGCACUGGUGGCGCGUCGAAGAAGGACAAACAGACAAGCAAUAGGAAAAAAAGAGGUACAAAUUAUAUUUGCAAUGGCGUGUGGUCUCAUGCCAUUCCUUGCAGGAGACACUUCUUCAAAGGCAAAUCAAGCAAGCACCAGCCAAGCUCAAACUGACAGUGGUCAUAAAAAGCGAAAGCACAUUGGACAGUCGUCGGGAUCAAAGGCGUUUGAUUCGAAAAGGAAGAAGGGCAAUGAAAAGAUGAUAGGUAAUGCCUCGCGGUCACCACCUCCUGACUCAGAUUCCUAUGGCGGACUCCCCUUCCCCAAUCUCAAUGGAGAGGUACAAUGGAUGAAGGAUGCUUUUCAAGUCAGGGCCACGUUUUUCUCAUCUCGUCGUCUUCGAAGGCUGCAAGAACGUGCAGAAACCAUGUUAAGACAGUCGGGUGAGGAUACGGUCCUAGGUCACGCACUAAAACAGGCUAUGGAUGUCUUGUAUUUUGAGAUGGAGACUUGGCCAGAUGAUUUUCCCAAGAUGGUCCUGGAAAAACAAGCCAUCCAGCCUGAGCAGCCUAUGGAAGAAAUGCAGGAGGGGGAUGAGGAGUCAGAGAAAGAUAAUGAGCAGGAAGAGCAAAAGGACAAAGAGGAGGACAAAGAAGAGGAGGACGAAGAAGAGGAGGACAAAGAGGACUUGGAUGGUCCUCACAAUGGUGACGAUCACAAUAACAACGACGACGAUGAUGACGACGAUGGCCAGCCUGAGGUGGCCAAAGAGCAGUGGAGGAAGGUCAUACAAGACAAACCAUCAGGUAAAUAAUAGUACAUUCAUUCCUAACCUUUUACCAUUUCUAACAUUGUCCAUGUAGGUUGCAAAGCAAAUGGUAAGUAGAGAUUAUUCAAUUGAAUUAAGAUACAAACUCUAGCCUUUAGUGUCGAGGAAGGAUAGUGCCAAGCAAGGGUCGAAACGUAUGUCCAAUCCUUCAGAAUCAGCAGUGCGCCCAAGUGAUAUCGGUCCUAGUUCCUCAAUAGCAGUUGAUGGUAAAUACAGUAUAGUCGAUUCAAUGUGCUAAUGAGUUUGUUUUUAGUAGCCAGUAGGGAGGAUACCAUCUCAAUCGAAGGGAGAUAUUUGGACAUGCAUAUGGAUCCACCAGUGGACUCUACUUGCCUGCAAGAGUCAUCAGAGCUGGUGGAGGCUACUAUCCAUAUCAACGCCAAGCAAGCUGACCACGCUCCACUUGAUGCUGCCCAUACCACUGAGUCAAUCUUGUCCACGUAUCCAACUGACGGUGACCAGGCGCCAUUGGACCCGCAUGAGGCCGCCCCAGCCGCCGAGCCGGUCAUAUCCUCAUUUCCAACGGACUCAACGUGUGCCCAAUCGUCUGACUACGCGCCGUUGGAACCUCCCUACACCGCCCCUGCUGCCUGUUCGGUCAUGUCCACUUUGCCAACGGAGGCACCAGCUGAAAUGGCGUGUGAUCACACGCCAUCGGAACCACCCCAUGCCACUGUUGAGCCAGUUGUACCAGAGUCUACAGCUGAAAUGGCAUGUGCCCACACGCCAUCGGAUGCGAUUGACCCCACAUUGCAGAGGAGAGUAUUUCCGCCCUUCACGUUUCCUCGACCAAAACCCUCUCAACGACCAUCGGGAGCACCAUUCGCUAAUAUUGUAGAUGGUAAAAUUGACUUGUACCAUUUUUUAUGUUGACGCAUUUCAUUUCAGAGUCAUGGCGAAAGUACUGUAUCAUUUUUGAUCUGAACGGUGUCCUUUUCUCCCAUGAGCGUGGCUCGUCCUCGAAUGUCACUGCACCCUCCAAAGCCUGCGGUCGCAAGUUGGUCAAAAGAGACAGAUUCACAUUAAUCACAUGGGAGAAACUGCGGGAUCUAAUAAUGACCAUGUGACACUUAAAACAGAGGGCCGGGUUCAAUUUGCAAUUGGGAGUUUGGACAUCCAUGAUGCGCCACAAUGCAUUAACGUUGCUACAGAUGAUGCACGAUCAAACGCGAGUAAUAUUACCAUUUGACUUUCUCCUAACGCAGGAGGAUUGCUUGACUAUGGUCCAUGUGAGGGGUAGCAAGCCCAUCUUCGUCAAGCCAGAGGCUGUAGUGAUGAACCGGACUGCUAGGUCAAGUGAAAUCCUCAUCAUCGAUGACUCGCCAAUUAAAACUGCAGCAAACACGCACACAUAUGCAGUGCGCCCCAUCUCUUGCAGUAUGGAAACUAGGGAGAAGAAACCGUAUGUUCUGGGGGACCUUGCAAAACGGCUUGGAGCGAUGGUGAUAGAGAACUGGCCAGUCCAGAAGGUGGCUGCAGAAAUCAACCAAAUGGCAGAUGGAACGGUAUAUCAGAAGCCAUUUGAUCGGACAGACAUCAGUCAUCAUUUAUGGCAUGUAUAUUGUCUAGCCAAGCACUAUCCGCAUCUCCAUAAUUUGCUCAACCGGAUGGGUUCUUCGACCACUGAACAUGAGCGUGGACGUAUUAGAGAAGAGAUGGCAUUACUAUUGGGUUUAAAUCCUGAUAGUGUGGAGAGUGAUGAAAUUCCAAGAUUAUUGUAUAGGCGUUGGAGGCAAAAAAUAAUAGUCUGAGAUGGCAUGUAUUUAUUUAAAAAUGUAACUUAUUAUGGCAUGGGGUUCCAUGCCAUUGUAUUAAUAUUAAAAGACAAUUCUUUGAGAGGAUUUGCAUUUACAGCAUGUUAUUGGAAGUCUACGAAGUUGUUUUAUUAAUAAGGGGAAAGUAAAGAUUGAAUGGGGACUUGGGCUCCACCUAGACUCGGAGCAACUGAGCCAAUAUUAAAAGGAUGGAAAGAAAUUGGACGACGAUGACAAGGAGAAGAGAGAGGUGAAGCAGUGGCAGGGGGAGGAGAAGUGAUUGAGUAGACAUUUCCUUGUUUAAAAUAAAAUGGCAUGUGCCUCAAUGCAGUUGAAUUUUGUUAUAUUUAUAUACUAUAUAAAGGUUUGGAAACCUUAUUUUACAAGUGGGAUAAUGACAAUUCCCACUUUAACGAAAUAGAGCUUCUAUACAAGCCAAUAUUCUAUUUGUGGAAGGUUUUCAAUUGACACUUUGUCUCCUUCACGCCACCAUAUGCACAUCUCAUUUGCCUUUGUAUUAUGCUCCUCUUUAGUUGAUGCAUCCAUCCAUUCCUGACAAAGCUGCUUGAACUCGUGAUGGAAGUCAGAUUUGAUGCAUCGGCAAUGUUCGUUAACACUCUUUGCCCAAUGAAAUUUACAACUCUUCUCUCUACCUUGUAACGGCUAACUUUUAUCACCUCCAAAUACUUGUCGUACAGCCAAUCAGAUAGCACUAGCAGCAUUUGCCAUGAAACCACAGAAGUUGGGUUUCUUCCCGGUUCACUGUUUAACAACUUCAGAUAUACAUGUCUAAAAGACAGUUUGUGCUUGAAAAUCUUGAACCUUGAAUUUGGCUAUAGCUAUAGUCAAGUUGCACUGCACCUAUAGAAGGAAUGGUUAUAAUGUAAAUCGGUAUGAAAUCCUUAAAAAAUGAAUAAUUACUUACUUGUGAUCAUAAACAUGAUCUCCCAUAAUUGACCAGCAUGAAAUUCGUUCCAUGUGGUCAAAAUGGAUCCAGGAAUUAACCAAGUCCCCAUCUCCAUCCAUAUCCAUUCAUUGUACAAAGUCCACACCAAAAGCAGGACCAAGGGUAGACAUUUUAAAGAUGAAAUGGUGUUGAUUAUUCACUUGGCUAACUAGUCAUUUGGCUAACGAACAAGCUCCUAUAAACUCAUAGGGACAUUUUCUUUUUAGCUCCAAAAUCCCAUUCAAUCUAGAUUGAGGCUUUCUAUCUUGCCCUUCUUGCAUCCAAUUCUUUAUUCUACUAAAAAAAAGAGUAUUAUUAGUGAUAAAGUAGAGUUAAGUAUUAAUUUUAUACCUAUUUAAAUUUGUCAUGGGUUCUAUAUUUCGAAGUAGGUCCUUCAAGCUAUUCUCCGUGAACUCUUUUUUGCUAUUAAAUUGUAGCAACAUGUCAACCACAUAAUCCUUUAGUAUAGACUGUUGAACACACUUUAGAGUUGCAGCACUUUUCUUCCCAACUUCUGUAGUAACAGCAGCCUUCAAAUUGCGAAAAGAAUCACGGUGGAUUCCUUCCUCUUCGUGCGUGGUUUUUUCGCGCGCCAACCAACUUUUUCGAGUUUGACUCUCUCUCACUUGUCACAAAAGAAUGGAACUCUCUUAAAGGGAAGAGAGCAUGGAGAUGAGAGGGAGAACAAACAAUCAAUGCUACAACUUUUGUGAUUGACUGGCGCUUCUCACUCAUAACCACAUUCAUUUCAAUAAUAUUAUUCCUCUCACAAUCAAUUAUACAUAUCUUAAUAUCUAAAGCAUUGAAUGAUUGUGUCCAUUGAUCGCCAUUAAAGAGAAUGAAAAUCAUGACCAUUGAUCAUGAUUGUUGAUCACGUCUGUUGAUUUUUAGGGUUUUACACCUAUGGUUUGAGCAACAAAGGGCGAGAGAAAAGCGUGUUUGAGUAGGGAAGGGCGAGAGAAAAGCAAUUCAACUUAGCAAUAUGCUUCAAGACGCUCCUCAAACAAGGUAUGCUUCCUUGAGAAGGUCAGUUCGCGUGUGAAUCAAUGUCUCCUCACUUUCUUUCUUCCAUGAGAAGUUUUCUAUUUUCUUGACUUUUGUUCUUUCUUGAGGGAUAGAGAUGUCGGUUCUUGUGCAAACCAAUAUCUCCUAGCAUUCUAUUUCAUUUUGCCCAUCUCUACUUGGUUUUUUUUUUUUUUUCUUGUUGAAGGGGUGGGAAAGAUUGGUUUGAGUGUGAAUUGACGUCUCCCCACCUUCAUUUUUUCUAGAAGCAAGCUUUAUUGAUUUUUUUCAUGUUUCUAGUGCUAUAUUUUAGAAAACAAAGAGAGAUAGAAAUGUCGGUUCUUGUGCGAACCGAUAUCUUCAAGGUUUUUUUUUUAUUUCAUUGACUUGAUGGGGCAUUUCAUGUGAAAAUUAGAGGGUGGAAGAUGUCGGUUCUUGCACAAACCAACUUCUCCCAUAUUCUUGUUGUGUUUUUCCUUUUUCUCAAGAGGUAGAGUGAGGUUGGUUCUCGUGCGAACCAACCUCUUCUAGUGACUUGUUGUCGCGAAUGUGACUUCGGGUAUUGAAAGUUAUCUGUCAGCUAGUCCUUACAGACACUCUUACCUUACUGCCACGAUGGCAGGAGGUCGGUAUUGUUGGACCCGUUAUCAGUUUCCCACUUGAGCUAAUUGAGAAACUGGUCAAUGACCAUGCACUUAGAUUGGAUAAAUAUAAGGUAGGAACCCUAUGUGUUUCUUGCUAAGCAUACUCGGCCUGGUUUGAGAAACUUGAGUCAUUGGCUUGCACUUGCUAGUAACAAGAACCCCCGCGAUAUUGAGAUUAGUCCCUCAAUAUUCGCUAGAUGAUAGCUUACCGUGUCUGCCAAACACCCUCGCUAUCAUGCCCUUUGUGUUAGUCUCAUUUCGGUCCCAAAUGCUAAUUAUGGAAAGUGUUUGGAUUUGCUCAUUUGCCAUAUCUAUGGAACGUAAAGAUCGGCCUGAACACAAUAGUGUUCGUCCCAUGUCCAAAUUCGCAAUCUAACGCCAUUCCAUAUUUAGUAAAUUUUGAGCUUGUCCCAAAGACUAACUCCUGAUACUAAGGGAAGUUUGGGGUGAAAGCCCAAAGUGUGUGUUCCUCAAAGGGGGGGUGGCUAUGGGGGGUUCCAAAUGUAUAGUAGGGAUAGUGGGUAGGUUGGGUAUGGCUGACCAACCUGAGGCAUAGUCUAGCUUCUGCUUGCGUGCCUGUCCUUGUUCUGCGUCUGGCUUGGGUCUAAGCCCAAGUUCCAUUCCAUGCUAGUUGGUGGAGUACCCAUGUCCUCGCGUUAGGCCACCGGUAUGCCAAAAUAGCACCAGACUCUAUUUGGCUUCGUUUUGCGUGCUGUGUGAGACACAAAAUCCCUAGGCCCCAAAGUGGAGCUGGAAGGGCACCAUGUGGUAGUGGCCAAAGCAAAAGCCAAACAAGUGUAACACAUUUGGACUAAAAGCUCCAUCUUGAAAGGUCGAGAGCGGGAGUGGAACUCCCAACAAAGUGCUCGAGGAAUGAGUACGAAGCGAGCAAUAAGCGAGGCUCUAAAAAAGGACCCAAAAGGACCAAGAUGGAGUCCGAGAUGGAGUCUGAGAUGGAGUCCGAGAUGGACCAAGACGAAGUCCGAGAUGGAGUCCGAGACAGAGUUCGAGAUGGACUGAGACGGAGUCCGAGAUGGAUCCGAGAUGGAGUCCGAGAUGGAGUCUGAGAUGGAGUCCGAGAUGGAGUCCGAGAUGGAGUCCGAGAUGGAGUCCGAGAUGGAGUCUAAGAUGGAGUCCGAGAUGGACCCGAGAUGGAGUCUGAGAUGGAGUCUAAGAUGGACCAAGACGGAGUCCAAGAUGGAGUCCGAGAUGGAUCCGAGAUGGAAUCCGAGAUGGAGUCCAAGAAGGACCCGAGAUGGAGUCCAAGGUCAAGACUGAGACCGGGACCGAGACCGAGACCGAGACCAAGACUGAGACCGAGACCAAGACUGAGACCUAGAUCGGGACCGGGACCGAGACCGAGCCCGAGUCCAAGCCCGAGUCCGAGUCCGAGUCCGAGUCCGAGUCCGAGUUCGAGUCUAAGAGGGUGAAAGCCCAAAGCAUUCGUCUCCCAGACCUUGGGGGGUUUGGUGAGCUCCAAAAGUAUAGUAAAGGGGAGGACUGUAGUGGAGCUAGUUUGGCCAGGAAAGGCCAGUUUGGCCCAAGAAGGCUGUACCCAGUGUUGGGUGAUGAGCUGCCCAUUGGGAAGUCCAAGACUAAAGUGAACACGGACCGACAAGCGGGGUAACUUGGUGAAGUGUUCAAGAGCCGGCUCUAGUUCCCCCGGGAGAUCGACUGGCCGAUACUCCCAAUCCAAGUGUGGGUGGCACUACCUACUUGGAUAUCAGGCGUGGCUCAACGGAACCUCGCUCUAAGCCCAUGGCUAGAGCACCCAAAGGCGGAAGGCGGGGAGAGUACCCACAAGGCUUGCGUAAGGCCAUGGUGUUCCGAAAUGUUGUCCUAAAGGCCUAGACUGUGGAAAGGAAGAGGAGUAGGCCUCGGGUGUAGUGACCAAGGAUACAGUCAUGCAGUGAGGAAGUCCUAGAGGACUGUGGGACUUAGUGGUCGGGCUUGUGGGCCUUGAUCCAGUGGCAGUGUUGGCGAAUACGGCCAAGGGCAAAAAGGGACUCAGUGGGGACCAGAAAGGAGAUAUUGGGGAAGGCUAUUCCUCAUGUUUGCGGGCAUCCUAAGGAUGCUAAGGAGUGGAUCUGGGAUGACCACUCAUGGAUGGAUGGCCCAGUCUUGGAGAGACGGGAUUGCAAUGAAGGUGGUGUUGGACCACUGAUGUGACCAAGGUGAUUGGGCAUGGCCUAGCGUAACAGGCUGGUAUGUUGGUGGUGCCUUGGGGUGUCGGUCAUGGAACCGGACACGUGGAGCACUUAUACCAAGUGCAAAGGUUGAGUGGCAUGGAUGCCAUUCUCGGGGCUAGCAAACCCCAAGUCCUGAGUGGGACUUAUGGAGGUUGUGAAUGAAACUCCUCCAAGUGGUUGGAGGUGCGGUUAAGUGACUAAAGUAGAAUGGAAAAAUUUAGUCUCUUACAAUUUGGUAUCAGAGUUGUUCCUUAGUUCAACUUUUAUUGGUGCUCAAGUAUAUCACUAUUGAUAUUGGCAUUGGAAGGUCCUAGGAGUGGGCCUAUCCUUGAGGAGUAGCAUGUCGAGAGGACAUGGCUCCCCACUCAAGUUCAUGCGUGAACUUGGGCGCGAUGUGGUGGAUAGAAAAGGGCCAGUAAGGGAAUGACUUUGGGAUCUUGGGAACAGUAUAAGGGUUUCCUCAGAGAGUUGAGGAUGUGAUCCAAAUGAGUGUUUGACGUAGCCAACUAGCUAAUGUAGUGGUGGUAAACAAUUAUAGUCAGGAUCACGAGAAAGAUAGAGACUCCAAAGCAAUAAAGGAGUCACAAGAUUAUCCUCAUAUAGUUGAGGUUGGUGCUCAGGAAUGUGAGACCAGAAGUAAUGACUGCGGGAGGUCAAAUACGGAAAAGGACACAAGUCCUUGAAAUGGUAGCCGGAGCUACCUCUAAUAAAUGCUGGAACAACCUAAGGAGUUGGGGGUGUACUCAAAUGAUGAGUUGGUAUUCUCAUCAUAUGGACAAGUGGUCAUAAGGGGCAAAAGGUUGCCCCUAGAGAACAAAUCAAGUGUCGAAGUAACACUUGCAAAAGAUGGUCCUUGUGAGUAGGACAUGAAUACAAAGAAUUGUAUUCCAGUGAGCUAGCACGUCAAAAGUAGGACCUUAUGGGUCGUCAGAUUAAUAAAGUCCAAAAGGUUGAAUGACUCCAAUAAAGUCAAGGAAUAAUCCUAAGGGCUUGAGGAAAGCAUUUGGACUAAGGUGUGUGGUGCCCCACAAAGAAUAGGGAGGAUCUUGAGAUCCAAGCAUGAGAGUAGUAUGUAUCUCAUUGAUGGCAGAAGGUGCCAUGCUAAAGUCGUGGGAAAGAGUUCCCUAGAAGAAAAUAACUUUGACACAAAGUUGUGCAUGAACUCUAUGGUGCAGUGCUAAUGGAUAGUUGGUAUGAGAAACGACUGGGUUGGUCUUGGCAAAGACUUAGACACAAGUGCAAAGUGUCAUAAAGGCAAACACAUCGAGCCGAUGGUGUGGAGACACCAAAUGGGCCAAGAUGUGAUGCCUUGAGGUUAUGUUGAUGGGUUCAUGAGAACCCUUGGCCAAGGGAAUCCCAAUGGAAAUGGGAAUGGCAUAGCCUAUGCUGGAAGGCAUGUGGUUGAAGUGUGGUGACCCAGAUAAUGAUGGAAGUGUGGAAGCACCAAGCAAUGAGUUGUAGGACUUGACAACUAUGAGGCAACUAAGCAUGAGGUGCAGGUAAUUGGUUAAACGGGUAGAAGGUAGCUACCCAAGACUUUUUAAUGGUAUAAAAAAGUUAAAUAUACCCUUAUUGGGGAUAAGUUGCUUAUGUUGCGAUAUAGAAGGUCAAUGUCAUAAAAGGAAAUGGUCAUUAUCAAGGACGCCAUCAUUGGGAUACCCAAACACUCUAGAACCCCAAGAGGUGGUGUUUAGAGUCACAAGGGCAUUAGAUAAAUCCUAAGGGACUAAGUCCUUAGUGAAUGAUGGAUAGGAGGUGCUAUCUAAACAUCCAAGGUUCUGGAGACAGAAGAAAUCCGUCUACCCAAUUUGGACAAAGCCAAAAAUGGGAUUUUGGCAAGGCUAGUAAUGGGCAUAUAGAGGCCCAUAAGUAGCAAUGUUAAUCCCGGUAUAUGGGAUUAUAAGGUGAGCAUGCCCAAAUUGAGGAACCAUUCCCUAAGCUAUUGGGUAGGUUCAUCCCUAUGAAUAUUUGCUAAGGCAUGGUAGAAGGUGCAAAACUAUCCUCCUAGUUUGGAAGAGAAUAACCAAAGGAAACAUAUGAGGCCAAAGGCAAGUAGUAUUGGGAUGGAAUCAAACUAUAGAAAUCGAAGGGCAUAACCAACGGUGGUUAUGCAAGUUGGCAAUGGAGAAUCAAGAGGGUGCUCAAGAAUGUUGCUACUAGCAACCACGAUGCCAUGGAGAGUCUAAAAUGUGGAAUUAUUCAUGUUAGACCAUAUGGGGAGUGGGGAGCUUGCGAAGGAGAAGCUUUAGCAAACUAAGGAACAGAGUUCCUUGAAGGUUCCCAAAGACAAUUUUAAGUAGAUAAAUACCUAGAAAGCCAAGUGUAAAUGGUUCCUAGAGUGCGCGAAAUCAGAAUGGCACCGCAGAAGCGUGGUCUUGAAGUUGGCCAUGAGGCGAGGCUAUCAAGGUUGGGGAAGUAGUCCCCAAGAGUUCAAAGAGAGGGCUUUGAACGAAAGUCGAUGGCUAAGGACUUUCACGCUUAUGCAUGAACCAUGUUACGGUGGUCGAAUGACUUGCUAAAUGAGAUUGGCAAGUUAGGGGGACAAAUACCCUAGUUGAGAUGCUAACUUCAAAAGGGGUGGCCCAUGAGGCCAAGCAUGGAGGAGUCCAUGCAUGAUCACAAACUUGUCAAAUGAGAAGACUUGGUAGGGUGGAGGAACUAAGUUCCUAAGCUGUGAUCUAUAGCGCACUUUAAAUAUAAGUUAGUGCACCAGCGUGGGGAGUCAUGCCAGGCAUCCGGUAUGAUGCCGUCUGUAGAUGCAUAUACGGAGGUUGGGUUCGAGUCCCGACCCUCUAGUGCUUGGGUUCGAGUCCCAAAUCACUAGGGCGUGGUGAUGGUUUGGAAUAUGACACUCAUUUUUCGGUGGUCAUGGACUCUCAGUGAGGAAACUAGUUUGGGCACACCGCCAAGCAAGGGAUGCCUCGGAGUCGUAAUGCACGGUUAGAUUGCUUAGUGUGGCUCAACAUAUCUAACUUGAACACUUAGUGUGAGUGGCACCAAGGAUGUGGUGAAUGAGAUGGGGACACCCAGUCUCAGUUGCUAUAGACCUUUAGUCGUAAGGGCUGGCUUGGGUGCACCGCCAAGUGUGGGGGAUGCCCCCGGGGUUAUGUUCAACAAUUUGAGGGUCUAGAAGACCAAGUACCUAUUGGCAACUCUGUUAAGGUGCCAAGGUGAGAUCACUAGGUGAUCUUGUGGCCAAAUAAGGACACGGUCCUUGGUUGGCUAAGAAAUGAAGUUCCCGGUUCAAAGUGUUGAUUUGAACUGUUUAUGAUGGUGUGGCUUGGUCAAGAUGACCAAGUGGGAAAAGCACCUAAGAGAAAUAAGUUAUGUCCAUGCGAUGGCAUGGUGAGUCCGAGGAAAGUAGUCUCUAUAAGAGACCCGUGAGAGGGUCAUAAAAUUGGGCCAUAGAUAAAGCCCAUAGUAGAAAAUGCUAAAGAGAUGUACUAGGGGUGAACACCCUCUGGACUUGGCAAAGCAAAAGCCUUCGCUAUAGAACUGAAAGGAUACCUCGGGAAUGGAGGUAGCGAUCCUAUGUUGCUAGGUGCAACAAUCAAGGAUAGGAGCAAAAGACUAAUGGCUAAGAAAGAGCCAUGGGAAUCAUGGGGAAAAAUCCAAAUGGCAAAGUUAGGCUAAAAACACUAAUGUGUUGGGUGCUAACGGAUUGUGGGAAAGGCAAUGUUUUCCCAAGAAUGGAUUCCCAACCGCUCCGAUUUGGUGAAAGUGGAAGCUCCAAGGGGGGAGUAGUAAGGUAGCCAAAUAAUAAGGCCAUGGGCAGCCCUAACACAAAUUAUAAUAACUGGAACUUAGUGCCAAAGGAGGCACGAUAUAGAAGAGAGGAUGAUGGUGCCCUCAACUAGAGAACUUCUUAGGAUGGGGAAGUGGAGUUGCACAAUAUGUGCAAUGCAAGGUGUUGGAGACACCUAAUAAAUUGACUUUGAGAAGUCAAAAGUAAAAGUUCCAAAGUGCAAAAGUUAUCUCUAUGGAAACUAAGACUAUUUGAGGAGUAAUGGACUAAGAUAGAGACGGUGUCUUUAAUAGGUUUAGCAAAGACUAAAUCAAUAAACGGAGAGAACCAACACAAGUGGUUGAAUAAGCCUCUAAGUUGAAGAGACUAUGCUCCUUAGAGGAUGGACAAGGCAUGGUGAGCCUUCGGUGUCAAACCAUAGAUAAAUAUUGGCUGGGUGCCAAGGAUGGAAAGGGUAAUACAUGUAGGUGUUACUUUAUAAAAGGGUUUACUGUUCGAUGAGGACAUUGAACUUCGUCUAUGGGUGGUGGAGUUGUGAGACACAAAAUCCCUAGGCCCCAAAGUGGAGCCGGAAGGGCGCCACGUGGUAGUGGCCGAAGCGAAAGCCAAACAAGCGUAACACGUUUGGACUAAAAGCUCCGCCUUGAAAGGUCGAGAGCGGGAGUGGAACUCCCAACAAAGUGCUCGAGGAAUGAGUACGAAGCGAGCAAUAAGCGAGGCUCUAAAAAGGGACCCAAAAGGACCGAGACGGAGUUCGAGAUGGAGUCCGAGAUUUAGUCUGAGAUGGAGUCCAAGACGGAGUCCGAGAUGGAGUCCGAGAUGGAGUCCGAGACGGAGUCCGAGAUGGAGUCCGAGAUGGAGUCCGAGAUGGAGUCCGAGAUGGAGUCCGAGAUGGACCCGAGAUGGAGUCUGAGAUGGACCGAGACAGAGUCCAAGAUGGAGUCCGAGAUGGACCCGAGAUGGAAUCCGAGAUGGAGUCCAAGAAGGACCCGAGAUGGAGUCCGAGGUCGAGACCGAGACCGGGAUCGAGACCGAGACCAAGACUAAGACUGGGACCGAGACCGAGACCGAGACCGAGACCGAUUUAGUCUGAGAUGGAGUCCAAGACGGAGUCCGAGAUGCAGUCCGAGAUGGAGUCUGAGACGGAGUCCGAGAUGGAGUCCGAGAUGGAGUCCGAGAUGGAGUCCGAGAUGGACCCGAGAUGGAGUCUGAGAUGGACCGAGACAGAGUCCAAGAUGGAGUCCGAGAUGGACCCGAGAUGGAAUCCGAGAUGGAGUCCAAGAAGGACCCGAGAUGGAGUCCGAGGUCGAGACCGAGACCGGGAUCGAGACCGAGACCAAGACUAAGACUGGGACCGAGACCGAGACCGAGACCGAGACCGAGCCCGAGCCCGAGCUCGAGUCCGAGCCCGAGUCUGAGCCUGAGUCCGAGCCCGAGGCCGAGGCCGAGACCGAGUUCGAGUCCGAGUCCGAGUCCGAGUCCGAGUUCGAGUCUAAGAGGGUGAAAGCCCAAAGCGUUCGUCUCCUAGACCUUGGGGGGUUUGGUGAGCUCCAAAAGUAUAGUAAGGUGGAGGACUAUAGUGGAGCCAGUUUGGCCAGGAAAGGCCAGUUUGGCCCAAGAAGGCUGUACCCAGUGUUGGGUGAUGAGCUGCCCACUGGGAAGUCCAAGACUAAAGUGAACACGGACCGACAAACGGGGUAACUUGGUGAAGUGUUCAAGAGCCGGCUCUAGUUCCCCCAGGAGAUCGACUGGCCGAUACUCCCAAUCCAAGUGUGGGUGGCACUACCUACUUGGAUACCAGGCAUGGCUCAACGGAACUUCACUCUAAGCCCAUGGCUAGAGCACCUAAAGGCGGAAGGUGGGGAGAGUACCCACAAGGCUUGCGUAAGGCCACGGUGUUCCGAAAUGUUGUCCUAAAGGCCCAGAUUGUGGAAAGGAAGAGGAAUAGGCCUUUGGUGUAGUGACCAAGGAUACAGUCAUGCGGUGAGGAAGUCCUAGAGGACUGUGGGACUUAGUGGUCGGGCUUGUGGGCCUUGAUCCAGUGGCAGUGUUAGCGAAUACGGCCAAGGGCAAAAAGGGACUCGGUGGGGACUAGAAAGGAGAUAUUGGGGAAGGCUAUUCCUCAUGUUUGCGGGCAUCCUAAGGAUGCUAAGGAGUGGAUCUGGGAUGACCACUCAUGGAUGGCCCAGUCUUGGAGAGACGGGAUUGCAAUGAAGGUGGUGUUGGACCACCGAUGUGACUAAGGUGAUUGGGCAUGGCCUAGCGUAACGAGCUGGUAUGUGAUGGAACUGAACCACGGAGCAACUCCCGAGCAUAAAGCCCAAGGAGCGAAGGGACAGGAGCCUAGAGCGACUUGGAACAGUCCUAGAGUAACCAACAUUCCAAUGCCAAGACCAGCAUGUAAGAGACUAAAUUUUUCUAUUUUACUUUAGUCACUUAACCGCACCUUCGACCACUUGGAGGAGUCUCAUUCACAACCUCCAUAAGUCCCACUCAGGACUUGGGGUUUGCUAGCCCCGAGAAUGGCAUCCAUGCCACUUAACCUUUGCACUUGGUCUAAGUGCUCCAUGUGUUCGGUCCCAUGACCAACACCCCAAGGCACCACACUUGGGAGUUUGGCACCGUUCCUUCAUUCAGUGGCCCAAGGCCCUGAACCUUGGGUUCCGCACCACUGUCCUUUGGACAUGUGGCAUAUGACACAUGGCAUAUGUCACGUGGCAUAAAGAAGGUUUAGGUUCCGCUUCGUGGUGUUAUCCUCUGGUAAAACACCAUAGGAUAAAGGUCAAAACCACAUGUGCUAUACUUGUGUUUUAUUCCUUUGCUUUUCUUAUAGUUUACAAUCUAUUUUUGAUAUCUUUUACUUACAAAAUUUUCUUGCGAGAGCAGAUAUAAAUCAAGCUUGACUACCUGAAACUUCCAACAAGGGACUUGAACUUAAAAUGCCACAGGUUUUCUUUGCAUUACAAGUUAGAUGUUAUAAUAUUUUUGCUUUUUAUUUUAGAGGAAGCACCGAGGCCAGCCUCAAUGGUCUUGGUCUUCAGGAAAAGGCAGCUGCCUUGAUCACUAUGGGUUUGGCCGAUUGAGUGGAGAUUAAUCGCUUUAGUCACUUAACCGCACCUCCGAUUGAGUGGAGAUUAACCACUCCCUUUUAGUCUCUGGCUGUGUUCGCCAACACUGCCACUAGAUCAAGGCCCGCAGGCCUGACCACUAAGUCCCACUAUCCUUUGGGACUUCCUCACCAUGUGACCAUAUCCUUGGUCACUGCAUUAGAGGCCUACUCCUCUUCCCUUUCACCGUUUGGGACUUUGGGACAACAUUUCAGAACACCGUGGCCUUACCCAAGCCUCAUGGGUACUCUCCCCGCCUUUUGCCUUUUGGUGCUCUAGCCAUGGGCUUAGAGCGAGGUUCCAUUGAGCCACGACAGGUAUCCAAGUAGGUAGUGCCACCCACACUUGGACUGGGAGCAUUGGCCAGUCGAUCUCCCGGGGGAACUAGAGCCAGCUCUUGAACACUUCACCAAGCUACCCCGCUUGUCGGUCUGUGUUCACUCUAGUCUUGGACUUCCCAGUGGGCAGCUCAUCACCCAACACUGGGUCUGGCCUUCCUGGGCCAAACUGGCCUUUCCUGGCCAAACUGGCUCCACUGCAGUCCUCCCCCUACUAUACUUUUGGAGCUCACCAAACCCCCUAGGGUCUGGGAGACGAACACUUUGGGCUUUCACCCUCUCAGACUCGGACUCGGGCUCGGACUUGGACUUGGACUCGGGCUCGGUCUCGGCCUCGGCCUCGGUCUCGGUCUCGGUCUCGGCCUCAACCUCGGUCUCGGUCUCGGUCUCGAUCCCGAUCUCGGUCUCGGUCUCGGUCCCGAUCUCGGACUCGGUCUCGGUCUCGGUCCCGGUCUCGACUUCGGACUCCAUCUCGGGUCCAUCUCGGACUCCAUCUUGGGUCCAUCUCGGACUCCAUCUCGAGUCCAUCUCGGACUCCAUCUCGGGUCCAUCUCGGACUCCAUCUCAGACUCCAUCUUGGGUCCAUCUCAGACUCCAUCUCGGGUCCAUCUCGGACUCCAUCUCGGACUCCAUCUUGGGUCCAUCUCGGACUCCAUCUCGGACUCCAUCUCGGACUCCAUCUCGGACUCCAUCUCGGACUCCACCUCGGGUCCAUCUCGGGUCCAUUUCGGGUCCCUUUUUGGAGUCUCGCUUAUUGCUCGCUUUGUGCUCGUUCCUCAAGCCCUUUGUUGGGAGUUCCACUCCCACUCUUGACCUUUUCAAGUCGGAGCUUUUAGUCCAAACGUGUUACGCUCGUUUGGCUUUCGCUUCGGCCACUACCAUGUGGCACCCUUUCAGCUCCACUUUGGGGCCUAGGGAUUUUGUGUCUCACAGUUAGUGACUACUGAACUUGAGGAUAAAUGGGAUCCUAUAUGGUUGCGAAAGUCUCGUGAGUUUGAUGGAUUCUUAUGACAACAUGUGGAGACAACAAGGUUCAUUGGAAAGCUCUUUUGGGUGAUCGAUGGAAACCAUAGGUGGUUGGCAUUUUGGAAAUGCAUUCAAGAGAAGUUCCAAGAUGACGAAGAACAAUAUAUUAGUGUUCCAGUCACAUUUGUGGAACUAAUGACUCGGGAGCACACUGUGAAGUUCAACAUGGCAUGCCAUAAGAUCAACAUGUAAGAAUUUAUUUUUUGUAAACUUAGCCAAUAUUGUGUUUUUGCAGGCUAAACCAAUUUGUGUUUCAAGCUCAUACAUUGGUACAUGACAUUGAGCACCUUUGGUUUAUCGGUAUACUCUCGCUAGAGGAGGUCCAAACAUUGUACAAUCGUGAGGUAUUUGAAGCAAUUCAAGUGAAGCUAGCAGCUAGGAAAGGCCAAAAAUUGUAAACUUGGUACCAGCUACCACUUGAUUUUCUAGUUGCUGUCUGGGCGAAAGUAAAUUAGUAUUGAAGUAUGUAUCAACUUACAUAAUGUUUCUUACAGCCCAUAAUCAAAGGAGAAAGAGUGUCAUUCUUUAAAAAUGCCCGAGGGGACGAGCAGCAGAAGAAGAUGGAGUGGUAUACGAUUGAGUAGUGAAUUUUGAAUACAAAGAGAAUAAAGGUGAAAAAGUUGCUCUCGAUUGCAGACAUAUGACGCGGGCAGGAAUGGCUUGAUAGCAUUGCAGAGAUUUGUUCUUGUGUUUGUAAGUUCUUCUAAAAUUUCUGAAACAUUUCAUAACUCUUUGUGUGUGUAGGAACUGAUAAAGCACCGAAGGAACUCAUUUACAACAUCUCCAAGAGUAAAAUGUCCUUUGUUGAACAAAGUGUCUACUUGGAACUUCUCAACACUUGGCUGUGAAACAACAAAAAACGCUGCGAGAUAAAGAUGGAGAAGGUGAUGAAGGAGAAGGCAUACAUUUCUUAGAGUAUUGCCGCUGAUGAGGAGAUGCUACAAGUUUGGGACAAGAAGUUUCUUUCCAGCACCUGCACAGGUAUCACUCUCAAAGAAUAUAUUCGUGCUUGUCUUGCGGAGCUAGGGAAUGGUUGGCUUCCAUGUGGUGGGACGAGUUCGGCUGAGUUCAAGAAUCAACUAGGACAACCAUUUCUUGCGAGGCACAUGAUUUAUAGAUAUUUUCUCAAUUCUCAUUUAUAUAUUGGUAUUUAUAUUUUUGUUUUACUUUGUAGAUAUUUAAAAUAUUGCCCCGGCAUACCGGUAUACACAACCGGUGUUUUGCAGAAGCUCCUGACUAGAGGCAAGAAGCUUGGGAUGUAUGAGCCAGAGUUCUACUGUCCUUGUACACAUGAGAGGGAGCUAUGCCCGUAGUACCUUGAACUCGUGGAGCAGAUGCUGACAUCGGACUUUGAGCUAAAUCUCUACCUUGAAUGUCAUCUAGGUUCACUUGAAACUCAGCACUUGGCUAGGAAAUAUUAACCUUGAGUUAUAUUCUUAUUUUCCAGAGGCUCUUUUUGACUAUGAUAACGACGUUGUUGAAGUUCAACAACUAAACCCAGACACUUAAGAAACCAUUCAGAAAAUGCCAAAUCCAAAUACCAUUAAACUAGAGGAAACUGUACAGGAAAUUCCAGCAUAAGAGAUUCCAGUCCCUACUCCUCGCAACCCCCGAAGGGGCCAUCAUAAAGCCUUUCAUGAGAGUAAGGACUUUGAUUUGGAACAUUCUUUUAUUCAUUCUUGACUUCACUUUUUUUUAUAGAUGUUGCAAAGAGCAGCCAUCAAUCUUCUCAGUGGACUAAGAUAUUCUUCCCAUCCCUCCCUAUGGCUACAAAUGACAACCUAGAAGAGCUCUCCUCUACAACUAUGCAUAAACAGGUUAGUAAGCAUGAAUUUUAUCUCCAACUUUUAGUUCUAAUAAUUGAAUUUUAGGUUCGCCCUCUAUCCCCAACGGGCAGUGUUGGGGAAGUUGUUGUUCUCAUUGGGGAUUACACACAGCUUUUAGAUGCUACUAAUCAGGAGCUCUACAUGCUUGAUUGGUGGAUCCAUGGUCUGGGUCAGCUCACACCUUAUGGGAAGAUUAAUUUCAUCUUUUUCGAUCUUCCCGAUGGAAUGCAACCAUCGUAGGGGGAUACUCCGUCAUGGAAUGUGUUGCAGGCCCAACACAUUUCCCAAGCCUUAAAGGUUGUGAGCAGCUUCAUGACAUACGAGGGUGUGGUUAUCAUGAUCCUUCCCCGCUCUCUAAUGUGGGAAGGCUUUCUCACACACUUGGCUGACAACGAUGAUGGAUUUGUUGAGUUUUCAUUUGGCUGCCUUCUUUCGAGUAUGGCGGUGGACAUAAAAGGCACUAGUGGGCAGAAGUGAAAGGUGUGUGUCUUCUUCAUUUAUAAAUUAACUCUAUUCUAAUUUUUUCCAGAUUUAUUCCUGGAACUACCAUGCUCUAUGCCACAUUGGGAACUAGCAUAAUGCCACACUAGUUGAUGAGCGUGUUGCUCUUGCUUUACCAGGAUAUGACAACUCUACAAACAUCAUCCCAAAUGUGAUUGACUCGAACAUUCUUCACCCAACGUUCCCUGGUUAUUGACAUUGUUUGGUCAUGGCCAUACAAAUCUUGUUGGAGUUAUUCUGUCCGCCAAAGGGGAUUGUGCUUGAUGCUAUAGCAGGAUUUGGAUCAAUGGUGCAGGCAGCGAAAGAGACAAGCCAAGCUGUUUUUGCACUUGAGAAGGAGGGUGCCUUUGAGGACAUUCUUAUGAGAUUUUGCAACAGGUGAUGUUAGUGCUUGAAAUAAUCUAUAAUAUUUAUUCUCAAAUGUUUCUAUGUCAUUAGGUUUAGACUUAUCACACACAGUGUUUCAGUCCAUACGCUUGAUCUUGAUGAUAUGGAUGAUCAUAUGGACCGAAGUCAAUUCCACUUACAUAUUUAUGCUGAAUGUAUGGCACAACAUUACAUACAACAUGAGCCUAUAGUGAAGGAGCAUUCCACUAUACCCAUUUCUACUUUUCUGGAUAUAGAAGUAGAAGAAGAUUGGAUAUAUUCUGAUUUUAAUAUAAAUUAUGUUGUUUAAUAUAUUAUUUUCUUUCUUUGUAGACUAAAAGAUUAAUUCGUGUCGAACCAAUAAUCUACAUGAGCUUAUGGAAUACUUUAAACACCUAGAUUUUAUGUUAAAAAUUCUUGGUUCGGGACGAACUAAGGUAGUGCCAUUAAACUUUCGCUAGUUAGGGGAUUGUAUUGACUUCCUUUGACUUUUGUUGACUUUCAUUAACUUGAGCUCAGCUCAAAAACUACCCAGCCCCAUAUAAAAGAGUUUAGUCAAUUGUUUCAAAGAUGCAAUAUAAAUAAAGACUAUGAAAAACUCAUCUGCAACUUCAAAAUAUAUUCAAAAGUUAGUGCUAAGGAUUUUAUCAUAAGCACCCUACUCAAUCCAGGUUGCGAGAAGACUCAAUUGGAUGAAGUUAGCUUGUGGGAGUUAUUAUGAUACAUGCAACUUGCAAUUAGCCUAAGGAGGUAAGAAAAUAAUAUUACAUACUUUUUAAUAGUAUCUCUUUUACAUUUUGUUUUAUUUAGGGUAAAAUCUUAAAUGUGUGAAUCUCGAGAGGGGAAACUCCAAUAAAAAAUUGACUCUAUCCUUGAAUUAAAAUGGACUUGUCUAUAUGAGUUUAUCCAUAAGAAUUUAUUUUCAGAUCAAGUCGUUAUUGAGUAAAAGUGCCCCUUCGUCUUCAAAAUGUCUACCAUAAGCCUCACCUCUAAUAUAGAUCUUGUUUCUCAAAUGGAUAUAUCUGGGUUAAGUGGCCUUGCUAAUGCAUGGGUAUAUUUUGACCAUAUAGAGGGGGAUAACCAUGGGAGCUCAUGUAUAUGAUCUAAGGUAGUUAUUUUUUCUCAUUGUCUUAAAAUGGUUUUAAACAUUACCAUUUUCAUAGACUACAACUUGACAAUUACAAUAAUAGAGUUUGAAGUACAAAACUAGAUGGCCCAAAAAAUAUUUUGGAAGUCCCUCUCUAACAUUGUACUAAAACGGACUAAUAAGCUUGCCAACUUUUGCGGUUUCAUGGCAAAUAAGGCUUAGGGCUAAUUAGAAUGGAGUCCAGAUAGUCUUUGGGAAUGGUCAACCCUAAAAGGUCGUGAUAGGACUUGUGAGUUCCAUUGGGCUUAGAGCCUAAACUAAUACUGCCACUUUAUCAAGCCAAAUUUCCAAUUAGUGUUUAAAGAGUUGUGCAAACAAUGGUAAGUUGCACUUUUUGAAGAAGAGCAUGAGGCAAAAACAAAUAAGAUUCAAAUGUGGUGGCAUGAAGAUGGCCAUACAGACGUAAGUUAUCUCCCACAAUUUAAAUCGUGGUUAGGGUGGUAGGAAGUUAAGAUGUUCCAAUAGGGACAUCACUCUCUUCAAGUUGGUUUUUUUUUUUCUCAUUUUAUUGCCUUUUAAUAUCGUCUUUUUCAUUAGAAUUAACCACUUGAGGAUCUUGCAUACACCCCAACUAUGAAUCUCUCAAAGAGUAAACAUUAGAACUAGUGUUCCUCUAAGGCACAGAAAGGGAAAAUGAGUUUAUACAAAGCCCGUCUAUUGAAUUUGAUAUGCACUAUAAAGUAAUUUUCAAAAGUCUUGGCAUUUGAGCAAGGAAGAUAUAUGAGAACAAAACCUUCAAUUGAGAUGUCACAUGAUCGGAUGAAGAAGAAAGUGAUUCCACCAACACGAACAAUGGCAACUGCAGUGGAGGAAGUGGUUUGCAACACAUCUAUGGAGUAUAUUCCCCAGACUUCUAUUGGUGAUAUAAAGGCUGUUUAUUCAAAACAUCAUUUUUCCUUUGCUAGUGAAGAAGUUGGCACAAAUGUUGGAGUGAAAAGCUCUCAUAGGCUUGAUGUUGAGUACCAUUUUGCUUAAAAACACUACCCCUAGACUAAAUCACCUCUAGUAAUUGAUGAAGAGAGUGCAUCUUAAUAGUUUGAAAAUCACUUACCAUAAAAUAGAGCCAAAACAAUGGGCAAUCUGUCGAGUGCUAGAAAAAUUAAAUGUAAAAUGUUUAAAGAUGCUUCUAAGGGGCAAAUAUUGGGCCUAGAUCCAUGGUGAUAAGUCUGCUUCUAUUCUAGUCCCAUGUUUCCAUAAGGAAUAAAAGCAAGCAAAAAUUUCAAGAUGGUGUUGGCUAUAUUGUUGCAACACUGAUGCAAACUAUACAAAGUGGCUUGAAGAAACUAUAAUGACUAAACCUGAUAUAGUAUUUAAAGAAUGGCCAGUUGCUAAUGAGGUUGUGCUCUCCUCAGAUAAGAUUGAAAACCUUGAGAAAUUUAAUUUCAAUUUUGAGAAGAGAGUUGAAGACAUGAGUGAGAGAACCAGAAUUGUUCACACAAAGAUGCACAAGAGGCUAGCAGAAAAAGGUAAAGCAAUUAAAUUUAUUAAUACCAUCUCCAAGCAAAAGUAGGGUAAAAUAAGUUUGGCUUAAAUGCUUGAAUGUGAGAUUGUCUCAAUGAAGUACAUCACUAUGCUUGUAAAGGAGUAUAUAGUCAAAUAGAAAAUGAAAAGUAUACAAUCAUCAUUCAAGAGCGACUUUCUUGCACAUGUCCAGACUUUAUAAAAUGCAAGGAACAUAGGAAGGCAUAUACUCCUUGCAAACAUAUGUACUACAUUUUCAUCAACAUUACAGUGGAUAUUUAUAUACACCAAGCAUUACUAUUGCUAAGUUGCAGAAGACUUUUGGAGUUAACUAGAGUUUCCAAGACUAUUGAUGUUUAUUCUCUAUCAAUAAUAUAAACUUAUUAUCCUUUAUAUAAUUAAUUAAAAAAUAAUUUUUCAUUUCACUUUUCAUUUCAUAUACUUGUAAGUGUUCUUUUGCAAUACUACCCAUAGUACUUAUGUGUCUCAAUUUUUGUUUUUACCAUCCUAAAAAAUAUUUUAUAGUAGUCUUUGAGUGCAUGAUAUUGCAAUGCGUUGCAUCAUAUUGAUCAUUGCCAUUGUUUCCAUUGGAACCAAAAAACAUAUAAGACAUUUCUUGAAAGUCACAGAGUUGCAAUUUUUUUAAACAAAUAAAAAAAUAAUUUUUUUCACUUAAUUUGUUGCACCCUUUGUCAUUGCAUUUAUCUCUAACUCGUGAUCACUAUCUUUACUAUCCUCUUCGUUUUUUUUCUUUUUUAUUUUUUGGUUGUGUUAUGCAAUGAGAUGAUUAUUACAGCUUCUAGCCCUUGAAUUACUACUUUGGGAAGAAAUAUUGCAAAAGUUAAAAUUACCAACAUUAAAACCCAUAAACAUUUGUACUUCUCUUUCUUCGAAUAAAAGUGCAAAUGAAGAUCCAUAAAUUCUAAAUACUAUAUUAUGACAAACCCCUCAAGAAUGUAUUCUAGAGAAGAACCAAGUCUCUCUUUUAUAUGUAACAAGAUUAUAUCAAUGGUUAUUUUUUUCCUUUCAAAUAGUUAUAUAGACUUAUAUAGAAUCUUAUUUCAAAUUUAAUAAUUUUUAAAGUCUGAAAAACUUGAUAUUUACUAGCUAGAAAACACAAAGUACAGAUUUAAGAGGAAGUGACAAGAAUACUUUUUCUAGAAAUAUCUUAUUUUAUAUUCUAAAAAACAUAGCAUAUAAUUAAUAUUUAAAUUGCUAGAACAAGAUUUGUCCUUUAAAACAUUUUUAUCUAUAUAAUGUGUAGAGAGUUAUGAAAUUAUUAGAUUUGCCAUAACCUUAAUAUUUUAAUGUUUGUAUUAAAUUACAAUUAAAAAUUAAGCUCAACUCUUCAACUCGUGAGCUCAAAUAUGGUCCAUGCUCCAAGACCCUUAAUUGAUUAGAAAAAAUAAUGCCCACUUAUUUGAUCCCUUAUGGAUCAUUAAUUCACCACCCUUCCUUGCAAGUUCAUGCCCUUGUGAAUGGAAGUUAAGAGCUAUAGCUAAAGGCAAACUAAACUUGCCACAUGUUAAUCUCAACAUAAUUCCCCUAACCUAAUUAACAAAGUCAAACUUGAUACCUCUUUAAUACCAAAUGUAAACUCUUAAAUUUGGACUUCCUGGGAAGUCAUCUAACUUAGUUUUAUUCAAAUAUAAAGAUGCUUAAUCUUUUGAGCUUUACAAACCUUAUCAAGGGAAAGUAAAUAUUGUUCUGCACCUUAAAAAAAACACUAAACAUCAUAUACAGCAAUUGUUAGACAUAAAAUCCUUGUUUAAGAAAUCCAUUGAUACUAGAAUAAUAGGCUCAUCAAAACCAAAAGAAGAGAGUGAUGAAAGGAGAAUAACUUAAGAAAAGGCAUCAGUAUUAGUUAUAGAACUCCCUGAAUAAUGAACAACCUUGAAAUCAUAUAUCUAAAACUUUAGAGCCCACUGAAUAAUACUAUCAACCAAGUUCUUCCACUAUAAUAAUGAAGUAAUCACAAUAUGAUCACCUUCUAAUAAUAUUUGAGAACCAUAAAACUAUGCAUGAAGCUUCUCAAAACCCAUAAAGGUUACUAAACACUCAUAUGGAAUAAUUCACUUUUGUUGGUUAUAAUAUACAGCUAAUGUAUAUUAUGGGAUGGCACUAACUAGACACACUUAGGCUUUUUUGCAUCAACACAAUUUCAAAACUGAUAUUAAAAGUAUUUAUGCAAAAAAUAAAAGGUUGAGUGUAUUCAGGAUACACCAAUACUAAAAGAGUUAUCAACAACCCUUUAAGAUCUAUAAAUGUCUAUUCACAAUCUAUAUACUAUAUGAAAAAUGAUGUUAAUGACUUCAGCAAUGUUCACAAUAGUGUAGCAUGAUUAGAAAAAUGAUCAAUGAAAUAACUAAAAUAUUACAUUUUGUUUAAUAAACCUUGCAUAUUAUUUGAUCUGAUGGGACAUUUUCCAUAGUCAACUACUUGCAAUAAGUAUAUUAUUAUUGACUCCAACUACUUGACUUGUUGGAUGGAAGUUGAUUCUUUUGCUACUAUUGUUGAGUACUUCUUCCUCAAUCAAGUGGUAUUCUAAUAUUUCUAUUUAGAGCUCAAAUAAUAAUCUUAUAUUUAUAAUUGAGGCAUUUUAUGUUUUAAUGUCUCGAUUAGAGAUACAUCACACUUUUAUGAGUGUUUAUCAUCCAUAGACAUAUGGUUUUAUGGAAUGGUUCACCACAAAUAACCAUCCUAAUCUGAAUAAUGAAAGUUUAUAUACUUCAUAAUCAUCCCUUUAAAGGUCUGAAUCUUGCAUAUAUUAUAGGGGUAUAGAGUUCCACUAGUGCUUCAAUGGUUAUGAUCUAAUAUUGCCAAUUGAGUUGAGUUUACCUUCACAAUUAUCACAAGGUAUCAAUACUAGGUUUUGAGAUUAAUAUUUAAUAAGCAUUAUUUCACUUGCUUGAGUGAAAUUUACUAAACACUUGAGCUGUGUAUAAAUGGGUGCUAGAACUCUUAUCAUUGUCCAUAUAUAAAGAACAUAAUGGAUGACUGGAUAGCUUUGGGAUUUGAGAAGGUUAGGAACACAAUAGGGCCAUUCUUGGAUUUGUUCCAACAGCCUCUUAAGUAUCACAAGGAAAACAAGUUCAAGAGGGAAUUUGCAAGGUCUCGCACAAUCGACAGUAAGUUGGUUUUCUUCCUCAAAUUAUUUUUUCAGUGUUAUGUUCCACAUGAGAUGUUGCCAAGGUGGAUGAGGUGCAACCUCGAAAAGAACCAAGUAUACCACUGGUGAACAAAGCAGAAACUCAAUAGUUAGAAAAAAGUGAAUUUUGAAAGCUAUUUGAUUUUGACUUGGUCAAUGUCAACUACAAGAUAUCCUCCAUGAUUUUUCAUAUCCUUCUGAUUUUUGCUAUGAAUUCAUGGCAUUAAAAAAAUUGAAAAAAAGUGAUCAUACCUCACAAGAACUUGUUGUGUUUCUAACAUAAUAGUAGUAUCCUUAGAAAGAGUAUCCUUAGCAAAGUUAACCUGAAAGUAGAUGACUUUUGCAGCAAUUGACUUGGGCUGUGAUCAAUUCAAUCUAGGAACGUAACUCCAACGAAAUAAUCACAUAGCUUAAAACGACAGAACUGCAAAAAUGAAGAAAAACUUAGUGAGAGCAAGCUUGGAGAAUGCAUGUCAGAAACAACAUUCAUGAAGCUACUUACUCUCAUGCUGCUGCUCUCUUCGACUUACUACAGCAGAGUCCUGGCCGACUUCUUGCGCGGAAGCACUGUCACAACAGGAAGCCCUUGGAGAUCACCUGAAGGAACCUUUGGAUUUGGAUUCGUAAUGCCUGAGUCUUCAAGCACCCGGAACUUCAAUCUCGCGAUCUGGUAUGAUAUAGAUCCGAAGAAGACUGUCGUCUGGAUGGCAAUGGCAAACGGGCAGCUUGUCCAGGUGAGUGAAAAUGCCAAGCUUGAGUUGAAAGCCGAGGGGGGACUUUCCGUCACUGAUGGCAGCAGCUCCGUCCCCUUGUGGCAAACCAAUCCCGGACAGUGUUGUGCUGAAAGUGCUUCGCUGCUCGAGAACGGGAACUUAGUUGUCCUUGGAAAAGACAAGAAAGUUGCAUGGCAGAGCUUCGACUCUCCAACGAACAACCUUUUGCCCGAGCAGCAGCUCCGCACACAAGGAAAUCCGUCCUUGGGAUACACGAGGUUGAUUUCCCAGUCUGGAGCAUACCAGCUUGUUCUCAACAGUGGUCAGGUGCUGCUCAAGAACUUAAAGCUGGAGAUCCCGCAAAAAUACUGGUCUAUUGCAAAUCCGACACUGAACUCCACCAUGACUUGCCUGGAUGACGAAACCGGAGAGCACGUCUUGAACAACAACGCUUGCCAGCCUGAUCGUUCUCUCAAGUUCCCGGCCGUCUUGAACUUGAGCGUCCUUUCCUUUUACGACGCAACUGGAAAGAGCUGGGCAUCAGGAUCAAUGAGUUCACAAGACUACGCGCUUGACUAUGACGAUGCGAAUGUGUUGAGGAAACUUAUGCUGGACGAUGAUGGCAAUCUCAGGAUCUACAACUUCGGCCCGAAGAACAAGAGUGGCUCCUGGAGCGUCGUCUGGAGGGCCGCCAUGCUCGACAUCUUUGGAACAUGUGGACCUUGACCUUUCGCUCUCUGCACCUACAGGCCCACAAAAACUUGCAGCUGUCUUCCUGGAUUUCACCGAGUUGAUCCAAACGAUGAAUCGAAGGGAUGUGACUAUGACAUACCUCUGGGAGCUUGUCAAAACUCCCCAAUCUCGGUGAAGCUCGUCCAGGUGAAUCGAGCAGACUACUACUUCAACGAUUACAACUUCGACUCGACCAUCAAGUCGCUCGAAGAGUUAGGCUCGGGAGGAUUCAGGAGCGUGUAUAGAGGAAACAUGGCCAUGAAGAACAUCACCACCGUGAACCAGGCUGAGAAGCAAUCAAGGCCGAGGUGAGCACGAUUGGAAGAGUACACCACGUCAACUUGGCUCCGCCUCCUCGGCUACUGCACCGAGGGAGACCGCCACCUCCUCGUCUACCAGUUCAUGCCAAACGGUUCUCUCGACCACCUCGUCCUCAUUCGCCGCCUCGCAAGAGAUCUUCUCAACCUGGGAGACACAACACUCAAUCGCGCUGGGGAUUGCCAAAGGAUUGACAUACCUCCAUGAGAAGUGUGGCGAGCGCAUCGUCCACUGCGAUAUCAAGCCACAAAACGUGCUGCUAGACGAGAGCUCUGGCCAAAGGUGUCCGACUUUGGGUUGGCGAGGAUGAUGAGAAAAGAAUAGAUGAGCAUCACCACCGUGCAAGGAACCAGGGAAUACCUCGCUCCAGAGUGGCUCGAGAGCCAAUCCAUCGCCCCCAAGGCCGAUGUCUAUAGCAUUGGGAUGCUCCUGCUGGAUAUCUUGAGUGGCAAGAGGAAGGCCCUCAUGGAGCUGGGCGGCGGAGACAAGGAAUGCAAGAAUGCGCCACUGCCGCCGCCUGGUGAGUGGUAUUUCCUGAUCUACGCCUUCGACAAGUACAUGACCUCGGAGCUGGAGAGCAUUGCCGAUCCAAACCAGGCAAGUGGCACUCAAGAUCCCGCUGUGGUGCAUCCACCAGGAUCCAGCAUCCAGGCCAGUGAUGAGCUGCGUGGUGCAGAUCCUGGAGGGCAAAGCGGAGGCGCCGCCGCCGCCAUUUCCAGAAGCUGGCGAGAGAGAAUGAUCGCUUUAACCCUUAGUUUGGUUAUUUAAUAUUAAGUUUUUGAAUAAAAUAAUUAGAUAAAAAUAUUAAGUAGAUUAUGAUGGUAUAAUUUAUACCAAGUGAAAUCAUUUUAAUUCACCAUUGCAAUUUAUAAAGGGACUAUAGUGAGAAGUGAGCAUUUAUUUUGGUGGUAUUUCAUUCACAUCUCAAAUAGAACAAAGUAAAUGGAAUAACAUAAAAUAUAGGUGUUUGUGAUCUUAAUGUUUUGGCUAUCAUUUUUUCGUUAUCUUAGUUUUGGUUAAGGAUAUGUGAUCUUAAGCCAAACCCAAGCUUAACUUAGCUCACCCGUGUAGCCAGCUUGCUAUUGCUGGGCUCAAUUCUAUAUUGAAGGUAUUAAGCCCUUCAAAAGUGACAAAGACAGAAAUUCUUUUCUUCCUGGAAGUUCUCCACAACCAUGUCAGUGGCAUCAAGCUUUUAUAGACUGCUAAAUAGAAUAUGAUCUAGCUGUUGAAAAUAACUAGACUAAGAGGUGUUGACCAAACUUGAACAAUUGCAACAUUUUUGGUGUGGAAAUCCACACUAUUUCCAUAAAAGCAUCCAAGGACACAAUAGUGAUCUGGCUGCUACAGACACCUACUUUCUUAAGCAUUGCAAGAAAGUGUGGGUGAUGGAAGAUGAAGAAACCAUUGCUUGGCAGCCUUGUUGCACCAAGGUGAGUGAUCUUCUUUAAUAUAUUAUUUCCUUUGACCCUGAUGACCUUGAAAACGAACAAAAAUAAAGGUUAUUUUAAGAAUAUUCUUUUGGACCAUAAUUCAAAAGUAUAAAGGUUAAAGGUUAAAAGGAGAUUUACAGCUGACACAUAGAUUGCACAAAAGACUUUUACCUUGGGAAAAUUGGGGUCCAACACCAAACAGUAACGUCAUAGAGAUCUAGGUGGGAUGCUUGAUGUUAACACAUGUACCACCUAUCCAGAUGCCCAUGCAGCAUAAGGAUGGGCAUCUAGAUAACUUGUAUGCAGUAAAGCCUGAUCUGUAUUAAGGAACAAGGUGUGCUUUCCUAAACUCCAAGCAUGGUGUGACACCAUGUAGCUCAGUCAGGCACUCAAUUUUAAGAAUAUUCUUUCUUAAUCUAGGUGUUAACUACCAGUUUAAUCCAAUAGUUGUGCUAAUUUAUUUGAACCAAUAUUAGAUGCAAAGUUUCUAAACAAAUAUACUGAGAUUCUUGAGUCUUAUUAUUAUUAUUAUUAUUAUCUAUAAGUUUUAAGAUCAUUAGUAUAGAAAAAGGAGAAAAUAUGAGAUCACAUAAAUCAGAAUAUUUGGGUUUGAAAAAGGUCUAGCAACUGAUUAGUUGUACCUUAGAUGUUUGACUUAAUGCAGUGCAGAUUAUAAAAGGGCGUUCUUUUACCUCAUAUUACCAUGUAAGUAUGGAAAACAAAAAAUAUCUCUAUUUAAUUUUAUUACUUGCAGUCAUUCUGAAAAAUGAGAAUUUUUGUGCUGCCACUACAAGUAUCAAAGUGGAUGGCUAUGUUUAUUGCACUAACUGUGGUUCACUCUCUCAGAAUGGCAUCUUCAGUAAGAAAAAUUAUCUAUCUUUUGUAAUUUUCUAAUCUUGUUAAAUCUUUCAGAUGCCAAGGUAAACCUGGUUUGUCCAGGAGACAGUCAUUCAUCAUUUACAAAUAGUAGAGGAUACUUUGAUAUCUUUGAAUUAGUGAAGACUGGAACAGAUAUUGGGAGUUGUCGAGUGAGUGUGGAUCCAAGUAGAGCACCCCGGGGGUGUUCUUUCUUAACAGACAUAAAUGGUGGAUCAAGUGGCCAAUCCUUAAGCACAUGCACCAAUAAUGGAAAUAAUAAGUUCACUUGUGGACCUUAUUAUUUUACUCCAAAUGCUUGUUCACCUCCACCACCACCAAGUUCUCCACCUCCACCACCACCUAGAAAACCACCACCACCACCACCUAGAAGACCACCACCACCCCCACCAAGAACACCUCCACCACCACCACCAACGACACCUCCUCCACCACCACCAACAUCUCCUCCACCACCACCACCAAGAACACCGCCACCACCACCACCAAGAACUCCUCCUCCACCACCACCAAGAACACCUCCACCACCACCACCAAGAACACCUCCACCGCCACUGCCAAGAACACCUCCACCACCACCACCAAGAACUCCUCCUCCCCCACCACCAAGAAAACCUCCACCANNNNNNNNNNNNNNNNNNNNNNNNNNNNNNNNNNNNNNNNNNNNNNNNNNNNNNNNNNNNNNNNNNNNNNNNNNNNNNNNNNNNNNNNNNNNNNNNNNNNNNNNNNNNNNNNNNNNNNNNNNNNNNNNNNNNNNNNNNNNNNNNNNNNNNNNNNNNNNNNNNNNNNNNNNNNNNNNNNNNNNNNNNNNNNNNNNNNNNNNNNNNNNNNNNNNNNNNNNNNNNNNNNNNNNNNNNNNNNNNNNNNNNNNNNNNNNNNNNNNNNNNNNNNNNNNNNNNNNNNNNNNNNNNNNNNNNNNNNNNNNNNNNNNNNNNNNNNNNNNNNNNNNNNNNNNNNNNNNNNNNNNNNNNNNNNNNNNNNNNNNNNNNNNNNNNNNNNNNNNNNNNNNNNNNNNNNNNNNNNNNNNNNNNNNNNNNNNNNNNNNNNNNNNNNNNNNNNNNNNNNNNNNNNNNNNNNNNNNNNNNNNNNNNNNNNNNNNNNNNNNNNNNNNNNNNNNNNNNNNNNNNNNNNNNNNNNNNNNNNNNNNNNNNNNNNNNNNNNNNNNNNNNNNNNNNNNNNNNNNNNNNNNNNNNNNNNNNNNNNNNNNNNNNNNNNNNNNNNNNNNNNNNNNNNNNNNNNNNNNNNNNNNNNNNNNNNNNNNNNNNNNNNNNNNNNNNNNNNNNNNNNNNNNNNNNNNNNNNNNNNNNNNNNNNNNNNNNNNNNNNNNNNNNNNNNNNNNNNNNNNNNNNNNNNNNNNNNNNNNNNNNNNNNNNNNNNNNNNNNNNNNNNNNNNNNNNNNNNNNNNNNNNNNNNNNNNNNNNNNNNNNNNNNNNNNNNNNNNNNNNNNNNNNNNNNNNNNNNNNNNNNNNNNNNNNNNNNNAUAAGCCAACUAUUUACUAAGUUUUCUUAAUCACUCAGUAGUGUGUUAAAAAGGGGUGUGUGAUUACUUCACAUACAAUAGGUAAGGGGAUUGAUACCCUCACCUUAUAAGAUUAUAUAUAAUGAUGAUUUUGAUUAGUUAGUCUUGUUUAUUUUCUGGAAAAACUCCUCAAUAAAAUCUUCUCCUCCAAGUACUCACUCACUGCUACUGAGUACUCUCUCUAUCUUCUGCUGCUUCUGCCACUCCUAGAGUAAUUGUAGAUCUAGAAUGACCACAAAAGAGAAGAUCUGGCAAACACAGCAUGGAUAAUCAAAAUUACAUUUUUGCAUGCCUUAGUUCAGUCUCAUGUUGGCACCACAAAACUCUCAAAAGUAGCAUAUAACCCAAAUAGAUAUAGAUAAAUAGAAUGUGAGACUUCCUUGUUUGUGUUCCAAUGGUUUGGGUCCACACGUCCUACCACCAAGGAGGCAUGGAGCUAUUUUGGGCAUUUGCAACUCCAUUCAUUGUAAGAAUUUGCAAUAAAAGAAAAUGGUGAACUCAUUUGUAUAAAUAUAGAGAGACUACCCUUGCAUUUUCUCCCAUCUUGUAUUGGCUUGAAAAGAAAAAAUUACAUUUUUGUACCUUUGAUUUUGCCUUUGUAAAGUCUAUAAAUACAUAGAUAUAUAUGUAUGUGUAUAUAUAUAGAUACACACACACACACACACACACAGAUAUAUAUGUAUAUAAAACUUUACCUAAUAUAACAUAUAAAUUGUCUAUUUGGGAUUGAAUUUAGUUUAUUAAUUCUUGUAUAUAAGUAAGGAUCCAUUUAAUAUACAUAUUCCUAUAUCCUGAGCACUCAUAUAUUGAAAUAUAUAUAUAAAAUGUUUAUUGUUGCAAAAAUAUAAAUUAAUAUUGUGUAAUUGAUAGUUGGUUGAGGAAUAUAUUCCACCAAUAUCUCACAUUUGAAGUUAACCCACUUAUCUAUUCCUAUAUCCUAAGCAUUCACAUUGAUAAAAGUGAGUAAAAUGAUCUAGAUGUUAAGAGUGUAUGAUGAGAUGUAGGAUUGAUAUUAAGUUUCAUUAGUCUCAAUGUAAAUAGUGUUGAUGAUUUGGUUGUAAUUCUAUGUUAUUGACAUUUGUGCAUUUGCUAGUUAGCAACUAUAUUAACAUUUAAAUGAGUUAAGUGGCAAGUUGAAUUAGUUGUGUUUUAGACGAGAUUGUUUAGCAAGGGUUGAGGUUUAACUUUUCCUUGAAAAGAGUAUUCCAAGGAAGAAGAAUAUAGAAAUUGUGAAAUGAAAAUGAACAUAGUGAAUCCGAACAGAAAAUCUGGCCCUAAUAUAGUGAGCUUGAACAAAUACGAUAAUGGAGUAAAGUUGAACAUAGAUGGUGAGGAAGAUAUGAAUAAUAAAUGGAGUGAGUUUGAUCUCCUAUAUACUAUGUUAGCCAAGAGCAAAAGUUUUGAAUCCAAGUUAAUAUGGAUCUUAGAGAUUGAUCAAAGGAACUAUACAAAGAUAAGUUUUAUUGAUGGUUAUGACUUUAAGUUAAUAGUGGUCUUCGAGGCUAGCCAAAGGGCAGACAUAAAGACAAUUUAUCAUUUAUUAUAAUGGUAUUUGGUGGAAUGUAGUUACCUUCAAAGUCAAUUGCUUUUAUUCAAAGUUAUGGUUUCGAGGUUGGUUCAAGUAUUUAGCAAUUGCACAUAGAGUUGCAAUUAAUUCAUUAGAAUUUUAUAGUCAACUUAUGCUUGUGCUAUUACUUUGGAUUAUAUUUCUGUCAUGGUUGUCAACAACUAUAUUGAUGGUUAUAUAGGAGUUUCAAGUUUUUGUGGCAAUCUAUUGUUGCUGAGUAGAACCUUUAGAUGUUCCAUAUGCUUUAUUGUCUUUAUUUUUUCAUCUUUACCUUUUCACAAUCAAAGCAUGCUUAGAAAAUUGUUCUCUUGGAGUAUAAUAUAUCCUCCAUCACUUGAUUUAUACACUCAAUUUGCCUAUCUGUCUAAGGAUGAUAUUCACUCAAGAGCUUUAAAGUCACUUAUAUAGCCUUUGCAAAGCUCUUCUAAAAUUCAUUAGUGAACUUUAAAUCUCAAUUAUUAAUAAUGUCCUUUGGUAAAAAAAAUCACGAAAGACUUUCUUUAGCUAAGUCUAAAGUAGUGAUAGUCUUCCAAAGAGCCAAUAUCUACACACACUUUAUCAAUCGAUCCAUUAUAACCCAUAUUUGCUCUUUUUACCUUUAUAUUUGUGGUAAAUAAGUGGUAAACAAAGGUUGAAAAAGUCCCCUUGACUUCUCUUUUGACAUUUUUACCCAUUGAUAGAGCUCACAUGAUUUGUAAUACUUAAGGAUAUUAACUUUUAUAUUCCUUCAAUAAAAAAUUGUGCUUAAUCAGUUCAUAUGUCUUCUUCCCUCAAAAUGACUUGCCUCUGGACAAUCAUGAUAAUAGAAUAGAACCUGAUUAAUCAACACAUCCAUCUGUGGCUAAUACACACUAAUGAGAAAGAUACUUCCACUUAGGUUUGUAAAAAGACCAUCUUAACAUCUUGAGCCUAAGCACAUUUAAUCAUCAACCACCCAAAUUUGCUGACCACAUUACUCAAAUGAUGACAAAAUUAUAUUUGUAACUUAUCAUAUGAUAAAUAUGAAAUAAAGCAUCGCCAAUUUCCCUAGAUGAUGUUAAAUAGAAAAUUCCUAUAUCAACCAAAAACCCAAGCUCAAGGGACUCUGACCCUAAACCUAGGGCUGCAUCGGAGCCUUAGAUUUGAUCAUGCACAGUAUAUACCAUUCAUUAGCAUAUGUUGGCAGUUAGGACCACCAGCCUUUUAAGGAGAGAAUCUAGUUGUGGAUCCCUAUUUCUAUUCAUUGUUUUCACAUUAAUACACAGCACUCAUUCACUCAUCUUUCCCUCUCAGCCCUGGAGAUCGGGCCCUUUCCCCCUUUGUUUUCUCAUUAGCAAUAGAUAUCUAGUGAGGAGGAGUAUCCACACCUCUUCAUUUGGUGAACAUGGUGGGAUUCGAACCCACAACCUUAAGAUCCAACACAACAUGAUUUGAUCCACAAAGAACCUUAAACUCCCUGAAAAGGCUGGUGGUUCUUUAUGGAUCGGUGCUGUUGUGAAUUUGAGGCGGAGAGUGUCGAAUGCUUGUUGCUGUUUGGACGUCCAUGUCCAUUGGGCAUCUUGCUUCAGUCUGUCGGUGAGUGGUUUGGUGAUAUGAGGAUACUUGUGGAUGAAGCGUCGGUGAUAUCCGAUUUUGCCAAGUGUCAAAGUUCUUUCUGAUUCUUCAGCAGUUUGAGUUUGGAGAUGACGUCAACUUUGUCCUUAUCAAUGAGAAUGCCGUCUUUGCAAACAAUGUGGCCAAGAAGUACUCCAUAUUUGACAAAGAAAGCGCAUUUGUCAAGGUUGAGUGUUAUAUUGUUCUCCUCACACUUGUCAAGGCAUUUCUUGAGGCAUUUGAGAUGGUGAUCUUCCAAGCUGAAAAUGCUAAAGUCGUCCAUGAAGACUCUCAUGAAGUCAGUGAGGUAGUCUCAGAAAGUGUUGGUGGUGAGCUUUUGGAAGGUGAAAGGGGUGUUGCAAAGUCUGAAAGGCAUUCAUUGGUAAGCAUAGGCUCCCUAUGGACUGAUAAAUGCUGUCUUGUGCUGAUCUUCUUUGGUGAUAUGGAUUUGGUUGUAGCCAGAUAAACCAUAGAGGAAGGAGCACAUCUCAUGUCCAGCGACUGCGACAAGAACUUUGUCGGUAAAUGGUAUCGGGAAGACAUCUUUUUCGGUGGCAUCAUUGAGUUGUUUAUAGUUGACGCAGAUUCAAAGCUUGCUGUUUUUCUUCGGCACAACCACCAGUGGUGAAAGCCAGAUCAGAUUCUGAAUCAGGUAGAUGUACUCAACUUGGAGAAGCUUGUUGAGUUCUUUCUUGACUUGUUCCAUCAGAUUCAGAUUCAUCCAGUAGGCUGCUUGUCUUCUUAGUUUUGAGUCCGGAAGAAGGGUGAUGGUGUGAAGGCUAAGUUUCGGCAAAACUCCCUUAAGGUCUCGGUAACUCCAAGCAAACAAGUGUUUCUUCUUUCAGAGAAGUUUGAUGCCUUUGUCUCAAAAACUUGCCGAGAUGUUGGUGGCGAGUACAAUGUAGUGUUCGUUUCCGUUGUUGGCGAGGCUGACUUUUUCAAGUUUUUGGUCUGCUGGAAUUGUUGGAAUGUAGGUGACUUUGUUUUGGUUGUCGACUAUGAAUGCUGGUGGCACUUUGAGUUUCAUAUCUCGAGUGACUAGAUAUUUUAGUGCUGAUGUAAUCAGCAGUUGUUCUCGGUGGAAGUCGGCAACAAUUCGGAACAGGUUGAUCUUGGCCAAAGGUUCAAGAUCAGGGUAGGCAUUGAGGAUUUGUUGUUCUUCAUAGUCAUCAAGGCCAUAUUCAAGAUUAUAUUCUUCCAAAUCGAUCAGUCGGUUGUUGCUGGACAGCAAUUUGGUCACUUUUGUUGACACGGUUAUCAGUCCGUCCGGUCCUUGAAGGAUGAGAUUGUUGUUCGGCCAGUCCUGAUGAACUUGGGCACUUCAAAGGCAAGGUCAAGCAAGGAGAAUCGAGUAUACAUCGGUCUGCUCUGGUAGUUUGAGGACAACACAGUUGACUGGUAUUUCAAUGCCUUGAAUGCUGGUGUUGACAUUUCGGAUGAUGCCUUUGGUCGGUGGUCGGCCAUUCGGAUGUUGAAAGGUGCCAGGUGGACUGGGCCGAUGUUGAAUUGUUGAGUGAGAAUUUCUUCAAUAAUAUUGAUGCUGGAGCCACCAUAAAUUAUGGCUCCACAAACAAGGUGUUUGUCAAGUUGUAGGUUGACUGUUAGAACAAUCAUUGUCGCAAUCGCCUGGUUGAAUUUCGGUUCAAAAUGUGUCAACAGCUGUCCAUGUCGGGUUGAUUUUGGACGAGUCUGUUAGAGCAUUGUUUGGUGCAGAUUUCAGAUUGGUGAGCUGUUUGGUGAGGUAGCGUGCAAUCUUCAGCAGUUGGCCGACGGUGAUCUGAAUAUUUUGGUUGAGGAUAGUCUCUACUAGUUCUUGUAUUUCCUCGAAGUUUGUCAGAUUGUGUUCUGGUGUCGGUGUCAGUGUCAAUGUCGGACAAUUUGGCUGUUGGUUUUCUGGUAUUGAGUCUUGGCAUUGUUGUUGAGCUGGUGAUGGUUGAGCUUCAUUUUUGGAGUCUAAAAUCACUAAUUCAGGUGGUUGUAGAGCGAGUCACCAUUGUAUUUUGGCAGUUAACUUCUGCUUCUUUUUCCAUUCCUAGAGUUUUCUUGGGCUCUCUCUCUCUCUCUCUCUCUUUGAGUUUUCUCUUCACUAUCUUCGGAAUCUCUGUCCGGUUGUUGUUGUUUUUCUGCUCAAAUUCAUGCUCGGGUUUGUACUGCCAUGACUUGAGGAUUGGACUCGUCAUUGUCGGCGUAAGGUCGUUCGUUAGUCUCAACCAUCCUUGUUGCUGGUGGUCGCUGCUGGUUUUUAACCUUGUUGUUGAGGAGGCAGCGGACCAAGUCUCAAUGGACCUCCUUGGUUUUGAAUUCAAGGUUGCCAUGGCUGGUUGUUGUAGUUGCCUUGGUAGCCCUGGUCUUGAUAACCUUGGCCUUGGUAUCCUCGGUUCUGGUAUCUCGGGUAUUGUUGGUAUCCUUGGUCCCAGUUCCGGUUCGGGUGGUUCCGGUUUGGCAAGUAUUGUCGAUCGUUGUAGUUGUUGUUGUAGUCAUUGCUGUAAUUGUUGUUGUAGUUGUUGUAGCAAGGUUGAUCAUUCCAUUGUCAACUCUGUUGGUAACCUUGGCCUUGGUAUCCUUGGUUCUGGUAUCUCGAGUAUUGUUGGUAUCCUUGGUUGUAGUUGUCUCGGUUCCAGUUCGGGUAGUUCCAGUUCAGCAGGUAUUGUUGAUUGCUGUAGUUGUUGUUGUAGUCAUUGCUGUAAUUGUUUAUGUAGUUGUUGUAGUGAGGUUGAUCAUUCCAUUGUUGACUCUAUUGUUGGAAGCUGUUUCUCGGCAGUCACCAGUUUGUCGGAGGUGGUUGCCGGGUAGUUGUCGAAGUAUUGAUUCGGAUAUGGUUGUCGAAGCUGCUGUCAGGGAUAGUUUGAGAUUUAUCGAACUUCCAGAGAAUUUUGAAAUCUGCAAGUCUUGGCUUCAUGCCAUUCUUUGGCGCAGAUCUGGCAUUUGGAGAUUUGGAGUUUGCAGUCAAAUGUCCUUCAUUCUUGCAUUUAGUACACCAAAUUCCAGAUCAAAAUUCUUUGAUGUCAGCCUUGGUCUUUCCCUUGAGCUUGUCGAUCAUUUUCCUGAGUUUCUGAAAUUUUGACUUGGUGCUCUCUCUGAGUUCAUCGUUGGAAUCCUCGUCGGAACUGCUGUCGGAAUCCGAGUCGCCGGUGUCAUUGACUUGUGCUGUCAUUUGUCGAGCUUGAUCAUCUUGAAGUGCUCUUACUAGUUUGAGGUAAGUGGCAACAUUGAUGUGUGUUGCUGCUUCUCAGAGGGAUUGUCGGGGGCCUUGCAUGUACCAUUGGUAAAGUAAAGUUUUGGUGGCGUUGUUGCUGCAUUUGCUGGCAUGUUGAGUGAAGGUUUGAGUGUAGUCAUCAAUGGAUUGACUGGACUUCUGCUUGAGUUUUUGGAUCUUGUGAAGUCGUUGGCUUUGAGUGAGGGAAGACUUGAAUCGGUUGAUGAGCUUGAGUGCGAGGUCAUUGAAACUUGUAUUUUGAGGAAGUGUUUGAGCCCAUUCGUUGGCUCUCUUUCAAAGGGUGCAUUGGAAGUAGUAUGGGAGUUGGGUCGUUUGGCUGUUGAUUCAGAUUGCUUCUCAGUGCCUUCCAACUUUAGACCAUGAAAUAGUGGAUAGGAGACAUGUCUUCUCACGGGUAUGUUGGCAAUGGUGGUAGUGACUGCCAUUUACGGUUGGUAGUAAUGUCGGUAUUGUCGAGGUUGUUUUGUCGGGUUCUCAUUGUGGAGUCCAAAGGUGAUUUAUAGCAAGGGGUUGUCGGGGUCAAUGGCAAAGUCAGUGUAGGAGGAAGCUUGUGGAUUGUUGCUGUUGUUUAGUGGACUCUCCUCUGGUUUUUCUUCUUUCUUGGGACUCUUUUUGGGGUGUCGGGUUGCUUGCCAAUGUUGAUUUCUAGAAGAUGUUGUUUGAACUUGUUGUCAACUUAUUUGUCGGAGUUAUGUUGUGUUGGUGGUGGUUGUUCUUCUAGAUUGUCGAAGUGUUCUUUGAGCGUAUAGUUGUGUGAUCAUUGUGAUUGCUGUUGAAGAUUGUUGUCAUCAACGAUUGGUUUGUCAACAAUGAUUGGUUUGUCGACCUCGUUGUUGCUGGAUGAUUGUAGCUGUUUGUUAGCUCGGUGGGAGUUGUCAACUUCUUCGUCGAGUGCUUGGCUAUUGGAUGAUUUGGGUUGUUCGUCAUCACUAUUGUUGACUGGGUAUAUCGAAGUGCGACUAUAGUGGGUGAAGUCAAGUUGCUGUCUUGUCGGCAUGUUGAAGUUGAAAGGAUUUUUGAUAGCAGGCUUCAAUAGAUGUUGGACACAAAUGUUGGAUAUGUUGGUGCUGUGAAGAUUUGUCAGUAUGGCAAAAAUGGUGCCAUUCUGGUGAAGUCUAAAAAGCUGGGUGGGAAACUUGGCCAUUCAUCAUUGCUGUAGAUGGGGUUGGUGAAUGUCCCUUUGAACGGGUUGUAUGCUGCUUGAAAAAUGUUUUGUUGCUUACAUCUACGGAAUGUAGAGAUUGUCUUGAACACAAUGGUGAUCUUCCCGUGUCCAAAUUCGCAAUCUAAGGAUAUUCCAUAUUUAAUAAGUUUCAAGCUUGUCCUAGAGACUAACUCCUGAUACUAAGGGAGGGGCAUUUCAAAUGUAUAAUAGGGAUAGUGGGUGAGGUCAAGUAUGGCUGAUCAACUUGAGGCAUAGUCUAACUCCUGCUUGUGUGCCUAUCUUUGUUCUGCGUCCGGCUUGGGUCUAAGCCCAAGUUCCACACCAUGCUAGCUGGUAGAGUACCCAUGUCUUUGCGUUAGGCCACCGAUAUGCCGAAAUAGUGCUAGACUCCAUUUGGCUCCGUUUUGCAUGCUGGUCUUGGCAAUGGGAUGCUGGUUGCUCUAGAACUGUUCCAAAUUGCUCCGGGCUCCUAUCCCUUCACUCCUUGGGCUGUAUGCUUAGGAGUUGCUCCGUGGUCUAAUUCUAUCACUCCUUAGCUCUAUGCUUGGAAGUUUGGCACUAUUCCUUCAUUCAGUGGCCCAAGGCCCUGAACCUCAGGUUCUACACCAUAGUCCUAUGGACACGUGGCAUGUAACAUGUGGCAUAUGACACAUGGCACAUGGAGGGUUUAGGUUCCGCUUUGUGGUGUUAUCCUAUGGUGAUUUACCAUAUGAUAAAGGGUAAAAACCAUAUGUGCUAUAAUUUUUUACCCAUCAAGGAACUUGUCCUUAACUAUCAGCCAUAGAUCUACCUAGUGAUCCCAUAUAGAUAGCUUAAUGGGUUUAUCAAUAAGCUCUAGGUUUACCAAACCUCUAAGUUGUUGACCACAACCUCAGGGGCAUUGUAAGCGACUAAAUUUUUCAUUUUACUUUAGUCACUUAACCACACCUCCAACCACUUGGAGGAGUCUCAUUCACAACCUCCAUAAGUCCAAUCCAGGGCUUGGGACUUGCUAGCCCCAAGAAUGGCAUCCAUGCCAUUCAACAUUUGCACUUGGUCCAAGUGCUCCACGUGUCCGAUCCCAUGACCGACACUCAAAGGUACCACCGACAUGGCAGCCCGUUACGCUAAGGCCACGCCCAAUCACCUUUGCCACACUGGUAGUCCAAUACCACUUGCAUCACAGUCUUGGCUCUCCAAAACUAGGCAAACCAUCCGUGAGUGGUCAUCUCAGAUCCACUCCUUAGCAUCCUUAGGAUGCCCACCGACAAGGGGAAUAACCUUCCCCAAUAUCCCUCUAUCAGUCCCCACUAAGUCCCUUUUUGCCCCUGGCCGUGUUUGCCAACACUGCCACUGGAUCGAGACCCACAGGCCCGACCACUAAGUCCCACGGUCCUCUGGGACUUCCUCACCACACGACUGUGUCCUUGGUCACUACCCCAGAGGACUGCUCCUCUUCCUUUCCACAGUCUGGGCCUUUGGGACAACAUUUCGGAACACCGUGGCCUUACGCAAGCCUCGUGGGUACUCUCCCCGCCUUUCGCCUUUAGGUGCUCUAGCCAUGGGCUUAGAGCGAGGUUCCGUUGAGCCACGACAGGUAUCCAAGUAGGUAGUGCCACCCACACUUGGACUGGGAGCAUCGGCCAGUCGAUCUCCCGGGGGAACUAGAGCCGGCUCUUGAACACUUCACCAAGCUACCCCGCUUGUCGGUCCGUGUUCACUCUAGUCUUGGACUUCCCAGUGGGCAGCUCAUCACCCAACACUGGGUCCGGCCUUCCUGGGCCAAACUGGCCUUUCCUGGCCAAACUGGCUCCACUGCAGUCCUCCCCCUACUAUACUUUUGGAGCUCACCAAACCCCCCAGGGUCUGGGAGACGAACGCUUUGGGCUUUCACCCUCUCAGACUCGAACUCGGACUCGGACUCGGACUCGGACUCGGACUCGGACUCGGACUCGGACUCGGACUCAGGCUCGGGCUCGGUCUCGGCCUCGGCCUCGGUCUCGUUCUCGGUCCCGAUCUCGGUCUCAGUCUCGGUCUCGGUCUCGGUCCCGGUCUCGGUCUCGACUUCGGACUCCAUCUCGGACUCCAUCUCGGACUCCAUCUCGGACUCCAUCUCGGGUCCAUCUCGGACUCCAUCUCAGGUCCAUCUCGGACUCCAUUUCGGGUCCAUCUCGGACUCCAUCUUGGGUCCAUCUCGGACUCCAUCUCGGACUCCAUUUCGGGUCCAUCUCGGGUCCAUCUCGGACUCCAUUUCGGGUCCAUCUCGGACUCUUCCACGUGUCAUGUGUUGGUCCUUUUGGGUCCCUUUUUGGAGCCUCGCUUUUUGCUCGCUUCGUGCUCGUUCCUCGAGCACUUCGUUGGGAGUUCCACUCCCGCUCUUGACUUUUCAAGUCGGAGCUUUUGGUCCAAACGUGUUACGCUCGUUUGGCUCUCGCUUCGGCCACUACCAUGUGGCGCCCUUCCGGCUCCACUUUGGGGCCUAGGGAUUUUGUGUCUCACAGGCAUCCCUUACACUUGGUGGUGCACCCAAUCCAACCAAGGGUCUAUAACAACUGAGACUGAGUGUCCCUAUCUCAUUCACAACAUCCUUGGUGCCAGUUGCACCAAAGUGUUUAAGUUAGAUAUAUCGAGCUUUCACACUAAAAAAUCUAACCAUGCAUCACGACUUUGGGGCAUAGCCCGCUUAACAGUGUGCCCAAGUCAGCCUCCUAACUGAGAAUCUAUGACCACUGAAAAAUGAAUGUCCUCAUAUUCCAAACUAUCAUCUCACUCUAGUGAAUUGGGACUCAAACCUAAGCACUAAAGGGUUAGGACUUGAACCCAACUUUUGUAUAUGCAUCUAUAGACGGCAUCACUUAGGAUGUCUGGCAUGACUCCCCAUGCCGAUGCACCAACUUAUACCCAAAGCGCAUUAUAUAUCAUAGCUUAAGAACAAGUCUUCUCACUUUACAAGUUAGUUAAUCAACCUAUGAUCAUGCAUGAACUUCUCCAUGCUUGGUCUUAUAGGCCACCCUUUUUGAAGUCAACAACUUCAACUAGUUUUUGUUCUUCUGACUUGUUAUUUUCGUUUAGCAAGUCAUCUGACCAGCAUAGCAUGGUUCUAUGCAUAAAAAUAGAAGUCCUUAAAUAUUGACUUUCGUUCAAAGCCAUCUCUUUGAACACUCGAGAAUUAUUUCCCCAACCUUAAUAGUUUCACUUUAUGCCAAGCUUCAUAACCAUGCUUCUGCUGUGCCAUUCUAUUUUAUCCCUUAGCUUGCUAAGGUUUCUUCUUUCACAAACUUUAUAACUACCAUAUAGUUUAGCAUGGGUAAUUCCAUACUUUAGACUCCCCAUGGCACCACGAUUGCUAGUAUAGUUACGAAUAUAAACACGGAAUAUGAACACGAGCCUUAGAUUUCAGAAACUCGACCACAAAACACAAUCAUAGGUCACAAUGGCUCAUAAAUAUUCUAAGAAUAUUCUCUUUUUAAUUCUAGGAAUAUGCUAAUUUUUAUUAUAUAUAAACUACUCAAAAAUCCUACAAAUCAUCGUUAUCUUCAAUUUCACAAUCUUAGACAUUGUCACCAUCUUCCUCUUCCUCUCUUGACUCAAACUCGUUUUCAAGAUAAGGAACUGUCUCUAGUACUUUAUAGCUCACAAACUUGUCAUAGUCAUAGUCAUUUUUGUAGGUUAACAACCUACUAAUGUAAGCCACAAAAACUAGAUUUGUUGUCCUAUCCAUAGUAAGUUUGUUCCUCUUCUUUGAAGACCAUGCUCGAAAGUGCUGAAAAAUCUCUCUACUAAGGAUGACAAGCAUGCCUGACUUAGAACUCAAAUGGUCAACUUCUGAAGAGCUGGAAUUUCAUAACCAUAAUCCUCCCACCAAUGUACAACUCCAUUCUUAGUGUGAUCAGCUUUAGCAUCAAUUGAGUUGAAAAUGCCUCCUAUCCUCAUGUAAGUUAAAAGCUCAUCCCAUAUCAUGUCCCUUUCACUAGAUGUAAACAUGGCCAAUCCAAUUGUUCAUGACUUCUCUAUUAGAAUGCUUUUCAUAUUUUUGAAACUCAAGGUCUAGUAUAUAUGCCAUCGAGUGCAUAAGCGAGUGAUACUAAUGCCACUGGUUAGAUAUGAUUUAACAAAGUUCCAUGUACCUACCAUAAUCCCACUGUCCUUCCUCUAAACUUGCAUUUCAUAUAUUCAUAUAGUUUUCCAAUCAUAGGUAUAUCAUCGUCCACAAGAAAAGGUGCAUCAUAACAUCCUUGGACACCUCUAAUAUGUCCUUAACCUAUUCCAAAAAAUGGUCAUCAAAAACAGUUUCACAAUUAUCUCUGCCUACUCUUAUCUUUGACUCAAGCCUUGCUUUGUAUGUAGGGCAUACGAACAUCUAUUGUAGAGCUUCCCAGAGCUCCACCAACCUCUCCAUUAUAAUGAAGUUGUAGCAUUACAAUAGUGUAGCAUUUGCUUAUGAGUAAACUCCAUUAGUAGUGCCACUAUAUGAGAGUGGUUCCUGACAAAGCUCACCAAGCCUUUCCUCACUCUAGAAGCGUUACCAUCCAUAGAAAUUCACUGAAGUAUUUCAAUGCAUUGUUCAAGCAAUAGGGAAAACAUGCUGCCCAUUGAAUUUUUAGGUACCUUUAUUUUAGAAUUGCUGUUGCUACUCUAUUCACAUUUUCUCCAUAUGUUACAACCAUAACAACAUUUUCUGUACCCACAAUGCUAAUGCCUUCUUCCUAGCAACACAAAGUAUUCUAAGCUGUUUUUCUUGUUGAGGAAAUAUUGAUAACCUUUAAAAAAGCUACCCAUCCUUGAUUAUAUGCCACAAGCCUUAUGAUAUGCCAAUUCCUCCUAUCUACCCACCUGUUUGUGCAUAUGGUUACACCCCUUUGCUCCCAUUGCUUCCUUAUGGAUGCCAUCUCAAUAUCAAUGGAUCCUUUUUCUUUCAACAAAAGCUUCUCUUGAAGAUCAUCAUAUUUUGGUGGUGCACAAAGCACAUCAUGCCUCGCAACUUGGAUCAUGUUGAGGAAGUAAGGGGACUAAGCCUUCACAAUGGAAUGUGUUCAUUCUAGAAAAACCUUCCAAUUGCCACAUCAACUCAACUUUUCUACUUUGGAUCCAUUGAAUUUAUAAUAUGGACUUGGCUCUACUUGCUAAACACUUCCACUUGCGUAGGAUGAUAUCACUAGCACUAAACGUUCUAUAUUCAGCCAUUUCUUCCCCUUUGUGCCUUUCUUAGAGUAAAUAACCUUUUGCAUAUUGACCAGCUCCACUUUCUUGUUACCUUUGAUAACGGGGCAACUCACAAUAUCCCUACUGCCUAGGCCUUCUCCCAACAGAUGAGCUUGCACAUGAUCAACACCAUUGAGCUUGUUCACCAUUGUGUAAUAUUUACAUGACCACAGUUUGUGGCCGUGCCCCUUGCUCUCAAGCAUACUUAUCUCAUCCCACCACCGUGAAGAAGGAUGCUUUUGCCCUUGUAGUAUGUUGGAUUGUUGCGCCAUGCUUGGUAGCAAUAAGGCAGACAAAGUGUCUCUCCUCCAAUCUGUAGCAAAUGGAGAGGCAAAGGUUGGCUGCAGUAUUGCCAAAAUUGGCAACAUUUAGGUCAGUUUUAUCCCUUUAUUACUUACUCUUGACUUUACAUAUUCCUUUUAGUUAUCCUUUUUCCAAGCUAAGAGGAUAGCUUUGUAAUUUCUCUCAUGCCUUAGCCAGUAUUAUUAAGGAUGAAUCUAUUUAAUGACCUAAGGAAUGGUUCCUCAAUUUAGAUAUGCUCUUCUCAUAAUUCUACACAUUGGGAUUAAAGUUGCUACUCAUAGGCCUUUGUAUGCUUAUCACUAGCCUUGCCAAAAUCCUUUUGUCUUUAUUCAAUUUGGAUAAAUGAAUUUUUCUAGUCUCCACAACCUUGGACAUUAAAUAACACCUCUUAUCCAUUUUUCACUAGGGACAUAAUCCGUUAAGCCUUAUCUAAUGCCUUCAUGAUAUUAAACACUACUUCUUGAUGUUUUAAAGUGUUUAAGUAUCUCAAUGAUAGCCUUCUUUGACAAUAAACAUUUCCUUUUAGAAUAUUAACUCACUACAUUGCAACAUAAAUAAUUUAUACCCCAGGGGAUAUAUUUAACCUCGUUAUCCCAAUAAAAAGUUUUGGGAAGUCUAAGUUUAAGUCUAAGUUUUGCCAAAAUAAUAGUAGUUGUUUCUUAUGCCAAUUAUUGGUUAGCAUUGCAAUAUAGUGUUCAUAUACAACUCUUGCCAAAAGUUGUUUUCUUCCAUGAACACCUUUUCAUGACUUUAGUAUAGUACAUUUUACCAUCAAUGAAAUAACUAUUGUUCUUUUACUUAGAUCUCAUAAUCCAUUUAAUCCUUUGUAGAGUACAACACACUUCCAUCCAAACAGGAUUCCUCCAAACUUUUGGGACCAUUCCUUGACUCUACUAAGUUAUCUAACUUUUGGACUUUGUUAAUUUAUCAUCAGUAAGGUUUUAGCCUCUUGAAUACUUUUGAGGUGCCACCACACUUGAAUAUAACUUCUUGUAUUCACAUCCUAUUCACAAAGACCGUCCUUGCAAAUGUUACUCCAAUACUUGAUUAUCCUUUAUUCUACAUAAGUUACUUUCACCCUUUAGAAUUAUACUUCCAUAUAAUGAGAACAACAACUCAUCAUUUAAGUACAUCCCCCAACUUCUUGGGUUGUCCCAACCUUUAUUAAAGGUAACCCUAGUUACUAUUUCAAGGACAUAUGUCCUCAUUUGUAUUUAACCUCUUACGGUCAUUAACUGUAAUCAUAAAUUCAUAAGCACUAUCCUCAACUAUAUGAGGAUAAUCUUAUGACUCUUUUAUUGUCCAAGAGUUUCCAUCAUUCUUAUGAUCCCAACUGUAGUUGUCUACUACAACCACAUUAGUCAAUUAGUCAACCAUUUAUAUGAAUCACAUCCUCAAUUGUUUGAGGAUAACCUUCUAUUGUUCCCAAAAUCCUAAAGUCAUUCCCUUAUUUACCCUUUUCUAUCCACCAUAUUGUCUAUUAGUUCAUACAUGAACUAUAGUGGAGAGCUAUGUCCUCCCAACUACUCCUCCUCAAGUAUAGCCCCACUCUUGGGACCUUUCAAUAUCAAUAUCAAUAUCAAAUGGUGAUAUACUUGACUGCUAAUAAGAAACGAACUAAAAAAUAGCUCCGAUACCAAAUUGUAAAUGACUAAAGAUUUUAUUCUACCUUAGUCACUUAACUGCACCUUUGAUCAUUUAGAGGAGUCUCACUCAUAAACUCCAUAAGUCCUAUUCCCAACUUGGGGACAUGUUAGCCCCAUAAAUGGCAUCUAUGCCACUCAACCUUUGUACUUCAUCCAAGUGCUCCAUAUAUUCUAUCGUAUGAUAGACACCCCAAAGGUACUAUUAAUAUCUCAGCUUGUUACACUAAGGCUAUAUCCAUUUACCCUUGUCUCAUUAGUAAUCUAAGACCACCUGUGUUAUAAUCCCAUUUCUCAAAGACUGGGCCAUUUGUCCCUGAGUGGUCAUUUUAGGACCACACUUUAGCAUCUUUAGGAUGCUCGAAGACAUAAAAAACCCUUCCCCAAUGUCUCUUCUUUAGUCCUCACUAAAUCCCUCUCCAUCCACAACCGUGCUCACCAACACCACUAUUAGGGUUAAGGCUCGAAAGCCCAAAGGCCCAACAACUAAGUCCCACUGACAUCUGGAACUUCCUCACUAUAUGAUUGUAUCAUUAGUCACUAUACAAGAGGAUUGCUCCUCUUCCUUUCCAUAGUCCAGGACUUUGAAACGACCCAUACAUGAGCCUUAUGGGUACUUUCCCCACCUUCCACCCUUAGGUGCCCUAGCUAUGUGGCUAGAGCGAGGUUCUGAUGAGCCACACCAAGUAUCUUAGUAGGUAGUUGUAGCACACCUUAUCUCUCUCCCCUUAAGCCAACUGGAAAAGGGGCAAUUGCUUGAUGAGAGAGCCCUUAGUGGCUAUUUUAUCCCUAAGGUGACGGUGACUUGCCAGAUCAUAACAUUGGUAUCAGAGGAUUGGUUGCGAUGGCCGACCAAGCUGAACGCUGGAAUCCUAUUGUCGAUGGUGGUACCGACAAUGGUGCCAACAAAGCUGCGGAGAUUUGGACCAUUCAAGAUGUGGUUCAUGAGCUGCAAGCCCUUAAUCGAAAUUAGCAAGAGAUGCAAGACGAGAUGCAUGGCAUGAUGGAUACCAUGCGUGGGCGUGUUAAGGCACUCGAGGCUGGACGGGGUAGCGCUCCAAGUAAGCCUUCUUUGGUAGAUCGACUCAAGAUUCCAACCUUUUCCGGUGAUGGUGGUGUGGACGAGUGUCUUGCUUGGCUAGCCAAUGUGAAGAAUUUCUUGGCUGCUAGAGGAACUCCAGAUGCAGAGGCUUUAGUGGCUAUUCCGAUAGUUUUGCGUGAUGCAGGUCUUCGAUGGUGGAAUUGGCUUGAGGAGUCCCGUGUUGCGGAUAAGAAACCACCAGUGUCUACCAUGGAUGAGUUUGAGGCUGCUUUCCAUUUACGUUUUGCCCCUCAUUAUGACGUGGAGAAUGCUCGUACAGAACUUCGCCAUUUCCAGCAAGGGAAAAUGACGCUCGGGGAUUAUAUUGAGAAGCUUACUCGCUUGAUUAGUCGUGUUCCAACGAAGGAUCCAGAUCAGAACAAGUCCUACUUCAUUGAUGGCCUACAUAGUGAGAGCAUGCGGCAACACUUGCAUCAUUCUCAGCCUACAAAGAGUUUGGAGGAGCUCUUUGAUGCGGCUCGUCGACUUGACAAUGACAAGCACAAGUCUUGCAAGCGUUCGCGGAGUCCUUCUGUCGAGAAUCGUCAUGAUGAUCGCCGUGGACACAAGGAUGGGAACAAGCAUCACAAGUUGAAGUCGGUGGUGACUACUUCAGAUGCAAAGGGGUCCAAGAAGCAGAAGUUCUUUGUGAAGAAUUAUAGACAAGGUUGUCAUCAUUGCGGUGAACUUGGACACUACAAGGCUGAUUGUCCGCAGUUGAAGAACAAGCAGCAGGACAAGAAGAAUGGCCAAUCUUCUUCUCACGGUAAGUCCAAUACUAAAAAGUUGCAAACUUUGUAGCGUGAGGAUGAGGAGAACGACCAUUCUGGUCGGAGGAAGUGACUUUCGAUCGUUGUUCGUCAACUCAACUGUGUGUGGAACAAGAUGGAGCUCGAGGAUACGUGUGAAUCAGCUUUAAUGCUGGAGGGCGUGUUCCGUGGCGAUCCAGUGUGGAUUUUACUGGAUAGUGGGAGCGAUGACAACUUUGUUUCAGCAAAGUUUGUUGCGAAGCAGUGCCUGAACACACGUGGAGUUCUUCCAUACACAGUGGAAGGUGCAGCUACCUCUGCUCAGCAUUUCGAUGCUUGUGUCGAGGGGCUGGAAGUGUUGGUUGGCAAAACCACACUUGUGGAGACUUUUUAUCUCGCGGAUAUCCAUCGUGUGGAUCUCAUUCUUGGGAUGCCAUGGUUAGUGAAGGUGGAUCCAACGAUAAAGUGGAGCAUUAAGCGUAUCUCGCUGGAGUAUGGUGGCGUUAAAGAUGUGUGGUUUGGCGAGGGCGUUCAACCACCAGUUGUUAUGCUCUCUGCUACAUCUUUGAAGCGGGCUUGUCGUAAUGGAAAAACACUUUCAAGUUACUUGCUGUUUGUUCGUAACUUGGGGGACCAAGGCACGUGUGGGGGAGAAGCAGUAGUACGGGAUGUACUUGACGAGUUUUCUGAUGUUUUUCCAUCUGAACUUCCUCAUGGAUUACCUCCGUUACGAGGUGUGGAGCAUGGGAUUACAUUGGAGCCGGGGACACGGCCAAUUUAUCGGCGUCCAUUUCUGUUAAGUUAUGCGGAGGAGCAAGAAGUUCAACGACAAGUCAAGGAGUUACUUGAGUUUGGAUUUAUUCAGCCAAGUAAAUCUCCGUUUGGUGCUCCGGUCUUGCUUGUGAAGAAGAAAGACGGUUCAAUGCGGAUGUGUAUUGACUACCGUGCUUUAAACAAGAAGACAGUGAAGGACAAGAUGCCGAUGCCACGUGUGGAUGAUAUCCUGGACAAGCUUGGCGAAGCACGAGUGUUUACCAAGAUUGAUCUGAGGAGUGGAUAUCAUCAGAUUGCAAUGGAUGAUGCAUCUAUCUCCAAGACGGCAUUCAACACAAGCUUCGGACAUUUUGAGUUUACCGUUAUGCCGUUUGGUUUGACGAAUGCACCGGCCACAUUUACUCGGUUGAUGACGGAGGUAUUUGGGUGUUAUCUUCAUGAGUUUGUGGAGAUUUUCUUGGACGAUAUUCUUGUUUUUAGCAAGAAUAUGGAAGAGCAUAGGGUGCAUUUGCGCAAGGUUCUUUUCUUACUCUGAGACAGCAAACUUUAUGCGAAGAAGAGCAAAUGUGAAUUUGCAAAGUCGGAGGUGGAAUAUCUAGGCCAUAUUGUGACAUCUAAGGGUGUCAAGACGGAUCCAAGGAAGGUGGCUGUGGUGGAAAACUGGCCUACACCGACUACAGUGGCCGAGUUGCGCAGUUUUCUUGGUAUGGCUAGUUACUACCGACGUUUCCAGCAUAAGUUUGCAGAGGUGGCUAUUCCGUUGACGCGGUUGUUACGCAAGAAUGUGCCAUUCGAGUGGAAGACGCCACAAGAGGAGAGUUUUGUGGCGCUGAAACGAUUGUUGAUCGAGGCUCCAGUGCUUCGCAUUGCUGAUCCAUCGAAACCUUACGAGGUGACAUGCGAUGUGAGUGGUUAUGCAUUGGGAGGAGUUCUCAUGCAAGAGGGAUAGCCUAUUGCAUAUGAGAGUCGAACUUUGAAUUCCGCGGAGCAAUGCUAUUCCACAUAUGAGCAAGAGUUACUCUCUAUUGUUCAUGCUUUGCGGACGUGGCGGCACUAUCUUUAUAGUGCAGUAUUCGUGGUGUUGACAGAUCACAAACAACUUGUGUAUCUUUUCACACAGAAGGAGUUGAACACUAGGCAAGCUCGUUGGAUGGUCAAACUCAUGGAGUUUGGGGAGUUUCCUAUUGAGCAUCGUCCGGGAAAAUCAAAUGUGGUGGCAGAUGCUUUAUCUCGUGUUCGUCAUGUAACGACGUUACGAACACGAUUUUGUCAUCAUUUGAGUAAGGUGGUCAGCGAGUUUGGGCAGUUGGUUGAGCAUGCUCAGGCUCAGGAUGCUGAGGUGGUCUCUUUGCGAGCCCAGAUGGAAGCCCCUUUCUCAUUGGUGGAUGGGAUUCUUUACUACAAUGGCCGUGUAUAUUUGCCACGGGUGGAUGCGUUAAUUACUCAAGUUUUAUUCCACUAUCAUGAUCGUCCAGAGGCUGGUCAUUUUGGGGGGAAGAAGACGUAUGAGUUGAUUAAGCGCAAAUUUUAUUGGAGGAAUAUGAAGGCUGAUAUCCUCAAGUAUUGUAAAUCAUGCGAGCUUUGUCAGCGGGUUAAGGUGCCACGGGAGAAGCCGGGGGGACUUUUGCAACCUUUACCUAUUCCUCAGAGCCGUUGGUGUAGUAUCUCUAUGGACUUCAUCACUUGUUUGCCACGAACACAGAGGCAAAAGGAGCAAGUAUGGGUCAUAGUAGAUCGGUUGACGAAGUAUGUGCGGUUGUUGGCUCUUCGGAAGACUGUCACUGCCUCAGACUUGGCUGCGGUUUACUUAGAGAAGGUUUUUCUUGAUUUUGGUUUGCCAGAGGACAUCAUUAGUGAUCGAGAUUCAAAGUUCACUAGUGGAUUUUGGAAAAGCUUUGCAAAGGCUAUGCAAGUGACUUUGAAACUCUCGAGUGGAGAUCAUCCUCAGACGGAUGGGCAAACCGAGCGUGUGAAUCAAGUGGUGGAGGAUAUGCUACGUUGUAGCAUUGGUCAAAGGCAAGGACAGUGGGAUCUAUAUCUUCCGUUGGUGCAAUUUGCUUACAACAAUAGCCAACACAGUGGAACCAAGCUAAGUCCUUACUUUGCGAUGUUUGGAAGGCAUCCUCGAACAGCGGUGGAGUUAGGAUUGCAUUUGAGUAAGGACGUUCAAGAUAAGGUUGAUUCCGAGGCAACUGAUCUGGCCACAGAACUUGAUGAGAUUCUGGUGGUGUGCAAACGGAAUUUGCAAGCAGCUCAGGAUAGAGCAGAGAGGUUUGCCAAUGAGCAUCGCCAAUUCCGGGAAUAUAAGGUGGGUGAUCUCGUUUUUGUGCGAGUGAUCUUUCUGUCAAGUGAGCGGCGGAACACCUUGGUGCCUUUACGGACAGGGAAGAGUGAUAAACUCUCCCAUCGAUAUGCUGGUCCAUAUGAAGUGCUGGAGUGCAUUGGUAAAGCGGCUUAUCGGGUGCGGCUGCCAGCUGGGGUGAAAAUUCAUCCGGUAUUUUAUGUCAGCCAGUUGAAAGGUGUACUAUCUCGGAGUGACGGGCCCAAUGCCUCCUUGAUGUAUACGGCUGUGGAAGAUGGACCAGGAGUUUGAGCAGGAUUCCCCAUAAAGGGUGAUCACCGGUACAACUCACCGGUACCAAGGAUCCACGGUGACAGUAUAUCCAAAUCUCAUCCCAUGAUCACAUGCGCUACACUCACCCCCCCUUUAGAGAUGUCAAUGUCCUCAUUGAUUAUUGACUAACAACCCCUACUGAGGCAAGGGGAACCAGCACUUUCAUUUCCGCACUCAAUCUACCAAUCCUUCCAUUGUGUAAACUAGCUAUUCCAUGUGAGGCAACUAGUUAUCCACCCGUACGAUUUCAAAUUUAGGGGUAGGAAUAUACCUUGCUCAAGGGUAUAUUAUAUUUUAGGUAGCCACUAAUCAAUGGGAAUCGAACCCGUGCCAUUUGCUCUGAUACCAACUGUAGCGCACCUUAUCUCUCUCCCCUUAAGCCAACUGGAAAAGGGGCAAUUGCUUGAUGAGAGAGCCCUUAGUGGCUAUUUUAUCCCCAAUUAUCCCUAAGGUUCCAAGGAUCCACGGUGACAGUAUAUCUAAAUCUCAUCCCAUGAUCACAUGCGCUACAGUAGUGCCACUCACACUCGGAUUAGGAGCAUUGACCAUUCAAUCUCCUUAGGGAGUUAAAGCCGACUCUUGAACAAUUCACCAAAUAAUCUCAUUUGUCCGUCUAUGUUCACUUUAGCCUUGGACUCCUUAAUGAUUAUAACCCACCACAUGGGUAUAACCUUCCUUGGUUACACUAACUUUUCAUAGCCAAACUUGUUCCAUUGGAGUCCUCCCCCUACUAUCCUUUUAAAGCUCAUCAAACCCCCUAGGGUCAGGGAGACAAUCGCUUUGGGCUAUCACCCUUAGACUUGGACUUGGACUCAGACUUGGUCUUAGACUCAGACUUAGCCUUGGUUUUGGUUUUAGUCUUGGUUUCGGACUCCAUCUUGGACUCCAUCUUGAAUUCCAUCUCAAACUCCAUCUCAGACUCCAUCUUAAACUCCUCGGACUCCAUCUCAGAGUUCUUCUCAAACUCCAUCUUAGACUCCUUCUCAGACUCCAUUUUGGACUUUUUUUCGGACUCCAUCUUAGAGUUCAUAUCAGACUCCUUUUUGGACUCUGACACUUUCAUAUAUUAUGACGCUUAUUAUAUGUCAGUCCUUCUUAUGUCCCUUUCCAAAGACUUAUUCAUCGAUGGCUUCAUGCUCAUUCUUCAAGCACUUCAUUUGGAGUUUCACUCUCACUCUUGAAUUUUUGAAUUGAAACUUUUUAUCCAAACGUGCUCUGCUUGUUAGACUUUUACUUGACCACUACCAUGUUACACACAUUUAACUCCACUUUUGAGGCUUAGGGAUUUGUGUUUUAUAGUCAGUCCUUCUUGUGUCCUUUUUAGAGACUUAUUCACUGAUUACUUUGUGUUUAUUCCUCAAGCACUUUUUUUGGAAUUCCACUCCCACUCUUGACUUUUCAAGUCAGAACUUUUGUUCCAAACAUGAUACACUUGUUGGACUUUCACUUCAACCACUACUAUGUGGCAUCCUUUCAUCUCCACUUCGAGGAUUAGGGAUUUAUGUCUCACACCAUGCUCCUAUCCCUUCACUCCAUGGGCUAUACACUUAACAACCCUUGGCCACAUGUCCAUGUUCUACUCUAUUGUUAUCAUAUGGUAAAUCAUUAUAUAGUAAAGGGUGAAAUGCAUUAUAGUAACUCUUGUUCAUACAUGGAUUACUAUUGCUCCAUUGGAUUUAAAGUUCAACUCUCAUAUACAAUAGGUUGUCUCUCUUGCAUGAGAACUCCCUCCAUUGCAUAACCACUCACAUCACAUGUCAUCUUCUAAGGUUUUGAUGGAUUAACAAUAUAAAACAUUGGAGCCUUACUUAACAAUUGUUCCAAUGCCACAAAACAAUUAAUAUAGAAACUUUUGGAUCUUGUAAUGAGAUGUAUGGAGUGUUCUAACAAGUUCACUUGAGGUCAUUCCAAAAUCAAUACAAAACUUUAAUAAUAAAAGAUAAGAUCUAUAAAAAAAAGAGUUUUCAAGCUUAAGAUAUAUAUAUCCUCAAUAAGUGGAGGCUAUUGACUUUGAUUAUGAGCUAUAAAUGCAAUAUAGUUAUCAUUAUUUUCCUUAACCAAAUAUCAAUCACACAAAUUUAUACAAUAAUUGACAUUUUUGCAAAAAUAAACUUUAUAUCUAUUUCAAGGUGUGAGUGCUUGGAAAAUAAGAAUAAGUAUAUUAAAUGGGUUUAGGCCCUUAUAUGGAAAAAUGGAUGGACUAAAUUUAAUCAUAAACAGAUAAGUUACAUGUUAUACUACUAUAAUUAGUGUAUUACCCAGAUGGGGUAAUACAUGUAUUUAAAAACCUAACACCAUCCUCCCCCUUAGAAGAUGAAAAUGUAAAGACAAUAAAGUAUGUGGAACAUCUAGAGGUUCUACUUAGCAACUAUAGAUUGCCACAAGAAUUGGAAACUCCCAUAUAGCCACUAAUAUAGUUUUUAACAACCAUGACAGAAAUAAAAUCCAAAGCAAUGGUACAAAUAUCAAUUGACUAUAGAAUUCUAAUGAACUAGCUGCAACUCCAUGUGCAAUUGCUAAAUAUUUGAACUAAACUCAAAGCCACAACUCUAAAUGAAAGCAAUUGACUUUAAAGGUAAUUACAUUCCACCAAAUACCAUUGUAAUAAAUGAAAAAUUUUGUCUUUAUGUCUGCCUUUUAGCUGGCCUCCAAAACCACUAUUAACUCAGAGUUAUGACCAUUAGCAGAACCUAUUAUAGUUCCUUCAAUUAACCUCUAAGAUCCAUAUUAACUUGGACUCACAACUCAUAGUAUAUGGGAGAUUAAACUCAUUUCAUUUGUCAUCCACAUCCUCCUUACCAUCUAUGUUCAACUUUACUCCAUUAUCAUAUUUGUUUAAGCUUACUAUAUUAGGGCUAAAUUUUCUGUUUGGACUCACUACAUUCAUCCUUAUUUCAAAAUUUAUAUUAUUCUUCCUUGGAAUAGGGGAAUACUUAUACACUCUCAACAUUUAAAUCAUUUUUGAGGAUGACAAGGAAUACUAGAUAAAGAAUUAUAAUGAUAAGAGUCACAAAUAAUCAUUGUGCCAAGAGAAGGAAAUAUUGAAAAUGAGGAAAAAACACUAGGAAUAUGGAAAGAUGCCUCAGAUUGAGAAAUAAGAAAAUUUGGGAAAGAGUAUAAGACAAAAUGAAAGGAUUAGAUGAUAUAUUAAAAAAUUGAUACCUACUUUGGUGAAAUUUGAAUUCAUCUCCAAAGCUAUCUUCAUCAAAAUCAAAUUCCUUAUUAACAUAAAUCCACUUAAGAUCGUAGACAUUGUCUUCCUAUAAACUCUAUUUUCAAAUUCCAAGAAUUGAACUGCAUCAUCUAUAACUCUUCAAUUAAUAUCAUGAUCACACUCCACAUUUAUAGGAGAUGGUAAGACACUAAAAAUAAAAGAAGCCAUGUAAUCAUGUUUACAGCACAUGUGUUUAUGGGAUAAAAUUUGGAUAUACUAUCAUUAUGGAUUUUUGGAACCUUAGAAGAUAAAUAAAGAUUAAAUAGCCACUAAGAGUUUUUUCAGUAAACAAUUAUCCUUUUUUCCAAAUAAUUUAUGAGGAAAGAGAUAAAGUGCACUACAAUAUCCUACAAAACUUGGAGAUGGCAAGACACCAAAGAUUAAAGUAACACAAAAAAAAUCAUGCUGCACAACACCAAAAACUUGAUUUGAAGAGGAUAUAACCACAGAAACAAUGUUGCUAGGUGACAACAAUGUAUCAUCUACAGUCUUGGAUGACACUCUUUGAUCAACGACAGCAUGGAAUGGUGGAAGAAAAGAAUGCAAUCAAAAUCAAAAGAAGAAUAGAUUGAAUACUAGAUCUAGUGAAAAGUUAUAACAAAUCUAGAGAAGAAAAGAAAAAUGAUAGAAUAAAAGCAAAAGCAUAAUCUUAAACACUAAAUAUAGCAUUACCAAAAAACUUUGCCCUCUAGGGACAAUUGCAAUGCCCCUCACUUCUAUCAAUGUGAAUGCUUCGGAUAUAGGAAUAGGUAAGUGGGUUAACUUCAAAUAUGAGCUAUUAGUGGAAUAUAUUCCUCAACCAAAUAUCAAUCACACAAUAUUAAUUUAUAUUUUUACAACAAUAAAAUUUAUAUUUAUUUCAAUCAUGAUAUAGAAAUAUGUAUAUUAAAUGGAUCCUUACUUAUAUACAAGAAUUGAUAGACUAAAUUCAGUCCCAAAUAGACAAUUUAUAUGUUAUACUAGGUAGAGUUUUAUAUAUAUAUAUAUAUAUAUAUGUAUGUAUUUAUAGACUUUACAAAGGCAAAAUCAAAGGUACAAAAAUGUAAUUUUUUCUUUUCAAGCCAAUACAAGAUGGGAGAAAAUGCAAGGGUAGUCUCUCUAUAUUUAUACAAAUGAGUUCACCAUUUUCUUUUAUUGCAAAUUCUUACAAUGAAUGGAGUUGCAAAUGCCCAAAAUAGCUCCAUGCCUCCUUGGUGGUAGGACGUGUGGACCCAAACCAUUGGAACACAAACAAGGAAGUCUCACAUUCUAUCUAUCUAUAUCUAUUUGGGUUAUAUGCUACUUUUGAGAGUUUUGUGGUGCCAACAUGAGACUGAACUAAGGCAUGCAAAAAUGUAAUUUUGAUUAUCCAUGCUGUGUUUGCCAGAUCUUCUCUUUUGUGGUCAUUCUAGAUCUACAAUUACUCUAGGAGUUGCAGCAGCAGCAGAAGAUAGAGAGAGUACUCAGUAGCAGUGAGUGAGUACUUGGAGGAGAAGAUUUUAUUGAGGAGUUUUUCCAGAAAAUAAACAAGACUAACUAUUCAAAAUCAUCAUUAUAUAUAAUCUUAUAAGGUGAGGGUAUCAAUCCCCUUACCUAUUGUAUGUGAAGUAAUCACACACCCCUUUUUAACACACUACUGAGUGAUUAAGAAAACUUAGUAAAUAGUUGGCUUAUUUAAGCAAACCUAUAAGGCAAAAUAUGUUUAGAUAAUCUAUGUGAUUAAUUAUUGUAUAAAAGUGUUUAUAAUUUAUAAAGUUUCUUAAACACCUCCAAGUAUAUUCUAGCUUAUUGGAUUAAUCUGAUGUUUAUAAUUUAUAAACAUGUUUAUAGUUUAUAAACUUUUUUAAAUGCCUAGUGUUGCCAUAAAUAAUCAUAUUACCUUACUGCAUUGUGUUGAGUGAUAUGAUCUCCUAUCAUAUAUGUGAUGAUAGGAGAUUGGCAAUUCUCUGCUGUCCUGCUNNNNNNNNNNNNNNNNNNNNNNNNNNNNNNNNNNNNNNNNNNNNNNNNNNNNNNNNNNNNNNNNNNNNNNNNNNNNNNNNNNNNNNNNNNNNNNNNNNNNNNNNNNNNNNNNNNNNNNNNNNNNNNNNNNNNNNNNNNNNNNNNNNNNNNNNNNNNNNNNNNNNNNNNUAAAUGUAGCUGAAUUUGAGGUAGCUUUUGAAUGUGGAUAAAGGCGGCGGUGUUAGUGGCGGUUUGAGAGAAGGAGUUUUCCGUGAUCGUGGAGUUGCUGUUCUUAGAGGUGGAUGUGGAAUUCGAGGUGGGGGUGGUGGAGGUGUUCUAGGUGGUGGUGGGGGUGGUCUUCUAGGGGGUGGUGGUGGUGGUUUUCUAGGUGGUGGUGGCAGAAUUUUUGGUGGUGGUGGUGGUGGAGGUGGAGAACUUGGUGGUGGUGGAGGUGAACAAGCAUUUGGAGUAAAAUAAUAGGGUCCACAAGUGAACUUAUUAUUUCCAUUAUUGGUGCAUGUGCUUAAUGAUUGGCCACUUGAUCCACCAUUUAUGUCUGUUAAGAAAGAACACCCCCGGGGUGCUCUACUCGUAUCCACACUCACUCGACAACUCCCAAUAUCUGUUCCAGUCUUCACUAAUUCAAAGAUAUCAAAGUAUCCUCUACUAUUUGUAAAUGAUGAAUGACUGUCUCCUGGACAAACCAGGUUUACCUUGGCAUCUGAAAGAUUUAACAAGAUUAGAAAAUUACAAAAGAUAGAUAAUUUUUCUUACUGAAGAUGCCAUUCUGAGAGAGUGAACCACAGUUAGUGCAAUAAACAUAGCCAUCCACUUUGAUACUUGUAGUGGCAGCACAAAAAUUCUCAUUUUUCAGAA